rnacentral:lncRNA from 1 species
AAAACAUAGGUAACAACUGGGCGUGAGAACUACUGUAAAAACAAGUAGUCCUCAGUGGGUACCGCCCAAAACAACAUCGGUNNNNNNNNNNNNNNNNNNNNNNNNNNNNNNNNNNNNNNNNNNNNNNNNNNNNNNNNNNNNNNNNNNNNNNNNNNNNNNNNNNNNNNNNNNNNNNNNNNNNNNNNNNNNNNNNNNNNNNNNNNNNNNNNNNNNNNNNNNNNNNNNNNNNNNNNNNNNNNNNNNNNNNNNNNNNNNNNNNNNNNNNNNNNNNNNNNNNNNNNNNNNNNNNNNNNNNNNNNNNNNNNNNNNNNNNNNNNNNNNNNNNNNNNNNNNNNNNNNNNNNNNNNNNNNNNNNNNNNNNNNNNNNNNNNNNNNNNNNNNNNNNNNNNNNNNNNNNNNNNNNNNNNNNNNNNNNNNNNNNNNNNNNNNNNNNNNNNNNNNNNNNNNNNNNNNNNNNNNNNNNNNNNNNNNNNNNNNNNNNNNNNNNNNNNNNNNNNNNNNNNNNNNNNNNNNNNNNNNNNNNNNNNNNNNNNNNNNNNNNNNNNNNNNNNNNNNNNNNNNNNNNNNNNNNNNNNNNNNNNNNNNNNNNNNNNNNNNNNNNNNNNNNNNNNNNNNNNNNNNNNNNNNNNNNNNNNNNNNNNNNNNNNNNNNNNNNNNNNNNNNNNNNNNNNNNNNNNNNNNNNNNNNNNNNNNNNNNNNNNNNNNNNNNNNNNNNNNNNNNNNNNNNNNNNNNNNNNNNNNNNNNNNNNNNNNNNNNNNNNNNGCUGCGCCCGUAAACGGCACCGGCGGAACUCACCUACCACCCUGCCACGCGUCGAAGCAAGCGAUAUUUACGAGGUGAAAUUUCCGGACCCACUUCUGGGCGCCCGGAACAUGGGAUCCGAAUUGGCUUCCAGUUUCAGUUAAAUUAAACACUCGUUUCUGGGCGACCCUAAACAUUUUCUGGGCGCCCGAAUCUGGCAAAACUCCAGUUUUGCUUAUUUGAGUGCGCCGAGUCCAAUUCUGCAUCCAAUUCGUGCAGAAUUGACUCCGACUCAGUCCGACACUCUCCAGAGAUGUCGACCAGUCUAAAAUACUGAAGCCAAUCCUAUCCAAAGCUCAGGAACACUACAUACUAAGUGCACGUGAAAUACACAUUGCAUAAAAUAUUAAAAAUAUAAUGUAUAUUGUUCAAAAUUUUUGAAAAACUAAAUGCAUAACUUUUAAUUUUUUUAAAAAAUAUAAUUUUUUCAAACUUCUAAUAGACGUAGAUUAUGUUUUACGAAAACUUAAAAACCAAAUAAUAUUAAAAAUUCUUUUACAAAUAAAAAAAUUCUUUAAACGUACUGAUAUUAGGAAAAAACUCAAAACAAUAUAAUAAUUUAAAAUCAUAAUAAAUGGAAUAGCUCAAUAUGCCAUACAUCAUAUAUGAUUAUAUAUAUAUAUAUAUAUAUAUAUAUAUAUGCAUUACACAAUUUAUUUAUUCAAAAAUAAUAAAAUAUUUUUUUAAAAUUUAAAAAGAUAAAAUAUUAACAAUAUUUAAAUUUUAAAUAGGUCAUAAAAAUUUAAUAUGAUCAAAAUAUAUUACUAUAUACGAAGAAGAAGAUUUUAAAAAAGUGCAUAGAUUCAAAAAAAAAAAUUUAUAUUAUUUAAAGUGCACAUAUUGAGAAAAUGAUGUAUACUCGGUUUGUACAAUAAAAUUAAAAAUCAAAAUAACAAAAGAAUUCUGUAGAUUUGAAAAGUUUUGCAUCUUAAAAUUCGAAUAAUAUAAUAAUCAUACGAAUUCGAAAAGAUUUACAUUCUAUUAUCUAUACUAUUUAUAAGAGAGUGAGUUCUUACAUUUUUUUUGCCAAAAUGUCAUUCACAUAUAAGUUAAUCCCACUCCAUUUUAAUUAAUAUAAUCCAUUUUUUUUGAAAUAAGUUACUUACAGUUGUAGAAUUUGAGUUUUUUCUAUAAAAUUAUAGUUAAUCAACACCAUCAAAUCUAAUCCAACGGUUAAAAUAUAAAGUCUUUGUCGUUAUUUCUACCAAAAAAUCUCUCUAUUUUUUAAUUAUUUUAAUUUUUUUGGAAAUUCAUUCGUUUCGCUCGCUAUUACAUAGCGUGCAUGUUUUUAAAAAUAAAUAACUCUCUUCACGUUUUCUCUCUCACGAAAUGGAGGCCGACGUCCAGGUCAAGACGGCCUGUCGCCUACGCCACCAGCGGCAGGCCCUUUGUGCUUGUGCUCGCCCUAAGGGGCUCUCGCUGCCUCCCACUCAGUCCCCAUCACAACUCUAUCUCUUUCUUUCAAUCCCUCAUCCCAUCAGAAAGAGAUGGAGUGCUUGUGCUCGCCCUAAGGGGCUCUCGCUGCCUCCCACUCAGUCCCCAUCACAACUCUAUCUCUUCCUUUCAAUCCCUCAUCCUAUCAGAAAGAGAUGGAGAGACCCCCUAGAGUAUAGGCAAUUUUGAAAUACACUUCUCAACUUUUUAUUUAUUUUUUUAAUUCAAUAUCUUAUCUGCUUAUAUUAUUUUACUGAUUAAUUGUCUCAAUGAAAAAAAAAAUUAGGAGACUAAAUCGCAAAUGAUCUAAAGAUGAGGGGCUGUUAUACAUUUUUAUCUAAAAAAUGCACUACAACACAUUUUUCAUAAAAGAUUCUACCAUAUAAUUCAAGACAGAAAAACUCUCUUCUACUGUAGAUGAUUUCCAAGCCGACUACUCAACUAUUAUAUAUCACAUCUUUCAUAAAAAAAUGAACCAUAUGAUUCAAAAUCGAGAAACCCCUAUAAUUAUAGGUGACUUUGAAAUAAAACCCCCUCACUAUAGCUUACUUUGAAAUAGAGCCCUCAACAAUUAUGUAUUUAUUUUUAAUUGAUAUCUUUCUAACUUUUAUAUUUUAUUAAUUAAUUAAUUAAUUCUGUUUUAUUUGAUAUAGCGCAGUUAAUUAAUCUAUUUUCUAAAAUUUAGUAUUUACUAUUUAGAAUUUAAAAAAUUUGGUUAAAAUUUUAGUUUAUUUGGCUAAAUUAGUAAUUAUGUGUAUAUUAAUAAAAAAUAAAUUGCCUAAAGAUGAGAAAGAGUUUGUACAUUUUUAUAUAAAUAAAUUAUAUAAUUUUUUACCAAUUAAUUAGAUCUCUAACGUGUAACAUUUGCAUGGAAACUAAAUAAUAUAUAGAAAAAGAAUAUUCCAAGGAGAUUUUAUUAAUUAAUAAUGUUUUGGAUACUGUUUGAUUUUAAAUUUUGCCUGAAUUAUUUUUAGUAUGUAAAUUGUUGAAUACUUUAUCGGUCAUUUAAUAGCAAAAAAAAUUAGGGGACUGAUUUAUAAGUGGCCUAAAGAUUGAGGGUCUUCAACCAUCUUUUCAUCGUAAAAAAUGAUAAAUGAUAUAAUUUAUAUUUAUUAAAGGGGUCUCAAAUAUAAAAGCUUUUGAAUACAAAAUAAAACAGUAUGAAUGACAAUGGCCUAAAUUAUUUUUGUAUAAAAGGUUUGCAUGACUUAAAUAAUUUUUGGCAUGAUUUAUAUAAUUAAAGGGAUUUCAUGUAUAAAUAUUAUUUUUGGCCCCAAAAAAGUGGAUCUUUUAUAAAUAGUAUAAAAAAAAAAAAAAAAUUUGGCUACAUGUAGAGAUCUAAAAUUUAAUUUAUGUAUAUGAUCAAUUGGAUAAUAAUUUUUUUACUAUCUUAUGCAGAUAUAAUAAUUAAAUUAUAAAUAUUUACAGAUAAUUUAUUUAAAAAUUAUAUAUUACAUAUCAAUCAUGUUCGAUUUUAAUUAUUUUGAAAUUUUUUUUUUAUUUUUUUUAAAUAUAUGACGUGCAUUGCACGUGCACUUCUAUAGUUAAAUUAUAUUAUUAAUUAUAUAUAUAAUAUAUAUUAUAUAGGUAUGAGGCUACUUACUAUCGUGAAGCUGCGGAGCGUCUCACGUGUAGCAGGUCCGAGUGAGCGGGGGGGAGCUUUUCGGGGGGCGAUGUUUGCGAGCCUCUGGAGGAUCGUAGCGGAUGGGGGCGCGUCGGUUAACACUUGCAAUCUCGUGAGUAUUUGAAGUACUAGAAAAUAAAAUUUUAUGAUUUUACGAAUUCAUUUGACCUAGGUAGAACGAUAAGGGCGGACUUCAAAUCAGGACUUCGGUCUGAAAAUUAAAAAAUUUAAAGAAUUAUAGGGAGAGGGGUAUGAUCAUUAAGAGGUUUGUAAUUCAAAGCUUAUUAGAAUCUUCGUUUUAUAUUGAGUAUAGAACUUUUCUAUCAAAUAUUUCAGUGAUUUAAUAUUUUUCACGGUUAAGCUAGUAAACGGGUCACUCCGGCCAUUGAAUUUGUUGAUUUUGAGGGCCGGUAGUGUCGUGAGUCACUAGGCAUAAUAUAUGCAAAAAAAUAUAAAAUUUAUUUCUUAGGUUACUCCAGGAGAUAACUUGCUGAGAGCGUAAGUUUAGAGCGAGCGCGGGAUAGUCACGUGUCGAAAGUCGCGAACAGUCGGAAAAGAAGGUGAGAACACGGGAAGUGCCGCUUCGGAAGUGAUAGUGGCCUCACUCACGGGUAUUAUGAGAGGGGCUGACGGUAUGAGUAGGUCGGGAGACGCGGAGGCUUCCGGCGGCGGUGCUUUCAUGCAAAUUUGUUGGUCGAAAUGGUAUAGUGAAGUAUAAUAAUUAUAUAUUUACAAGCACCAAGUACUUUGUACUUUUACAAGCACCAUAGACAGACUAUAUAUAUAUAUAGUUGAGUUGGAAUGCUAUUGGUAGAAAACUAGCUCCGUUGCCAUCAAUUUGUUUUCGAUAAUGAAGCUCUUAAAUUGACGAUCGGCACUGUUGAAUAUGAUCUUACCACUUGAAGUAUCUAGAAACCAAAUUUCAAAUCAUUUUGAUAUCAUUGACCUAAUGAUCAAAGGGCUUUAAAAUUUGUAAUUUUAAUGGUAGAUAUGAGGCGUUUUCUCGUUUAACAGUGUAAAGCUGUCCAAAUCAAUUGAAUUUUGAUGAGAAAAUUCUUUAAACUAUUUAGAAUAAAAUUUAUACUCUCGAUCUUGAUUACAAAAUCCAUAUCAUCAUUUUUUUAAGGAUAUUCAUUUUCAGUCAUUCAUUCUUACGCCCACUUGAUAGACAAGAGAAUAAUAUCGGAAAAGUAUAAAAUUUGAUUUCUAGAUAUUUGAAGUGGUAUAGAUCAUAUUCAACGGUACCGAUCGUCGAUUUGGAGGCUUUAUCAUCGAAAACAAAUGGGUGGCAACGGAGCUUGUUUGCUACCGGUAGUAUUCUAGCUCAACUCUCUAUAUAUAUACCCUUAUUAUCAUUCUUUCCGAAAAAAUUUUCUAGUUAACUUUGUCAGAUAUCUAAAAUAAUAGUAUUGUUGGAUAUAAAUAUAAAAUAUACUUACGGUAACUCAAAAUCUUCCUGCUCUGAGCGCGAUAACCGUAUUCCCAUAAAGUAUAAAUCUAAAUUUAGAUUUAAAUUUUAUAAAAAUAUAAUACUUAGAAAAGUGUAAAAAUUUGCUAUCACCUCGCAUACAUCAGAAUAAUGCAACAGGAUGUGUAAUAAUAUAUGCGACGAGUGAAAAAUAAUAGUACAACAUGACUAGUUGUUUCCAGAGUACUUACUAUCUCAAACUCUACUCAUCUAUCGCGCAGUCCGCUUUCGACCCACUAUCCAAUCCUAUUUGCAAAAUAUACUGAACACGCAUACCAAGUGAUCAGGAUAAUAUCCUAGAAAGUUUUUAAUAUUUUAAUUAAUCGAUGAUGUAAGUGUUCAGUAGUAAUACAAAAAUUUAUUUUACCAAUAUACUGAUGAAUAUCAAUUGAAUCUAUGGAAUAAAUUAAACCAAAUCACGUCACGUGCGGAUGAUACUAAUAAGUCUACAAGCACCUUACAUAUUUCUGGAGAAUUAAUCUAAAUACUCUUGUUGAUUUUAAAAUGUUUCUUCACAUAUCCCCUUUUUUCUUUUCCUAGGGUUUACGAAAAGGAUUACAUUUUAGAAGGAUGUUUUAAUAAUUUUAAGAUAAAUUUAAAAAUUUUGAAUGGUAGUAAAAGGCAAAUAAGAAAAAGGCUUAAAAAAAAGUCUACGUACAUCUCUGAUAACGAAAACAACAUGUAACCAUAACGUAUGGGAACCUCCAGUACGUCGAUACUGACCAACUAACAUAUACGUCUCCGAUCCAACAACUCUCACCUCUUCAAUGCCACAUGUCGUCCAGAAUUGCUCGUCAUAAUGUAACCGACCAAGCUAGAGACGCGUUAUUUAUUCUCCUUGAUACUACUUGGGUUGUACCUCUCAUCCCGUAUGUAUCUAGCUAUCUUGAAAUACACCGAUCAUCUCAACUGAUCUGAAAUAAAGAGUGGCCUUCAGCAUAGUAUCCUUACACAAUGUACAGCAAUCUAAUGGCACUUUGCCCUUACCCAACUAUCCUGAAAUGCAAACGUUAAAUCAUCUAACCCUACCACACUUAGCAACGUUAGAUCCGGUCCCGGCCGGCCUACUAAACUCGACACACAUCAUUUUACUGUAUCUAAUUCUAAAUUUUUGCUCCACAACUCAUGACCAUAAACACUGUAACUAGUAAGCACUAUUUUCUCUCAGCUCACAUGGUCACACAUAACUAUAUAGCUCACUAUCUCAAGUACUGUCGAGGUGUGUUUGGUUCGAAGCCGAAAUUAGUAUCGAAAUUGGAAUGAGAAUAAAUUAAAAACGGAAUCGAAAUAAUUCAUUAGCUCAUUAUGUUUGGUUCGCCACCUGAAUCGAAAUCAGAGUGAACCAUUCACAUUGUCGGCGUUUGGUUCAAUAUCAGAAACGUAAUCAAAUUAAUAUUCUAAUUUUAUCUUUAUAAUAUAUUAGUUUCAAUUCAAACUGAAAAUUAAAUAUUAAAAAUUACAUCAAAUUUUAAAAUGAUGUCAAAAUUUUAAAUAUAUUUUUAAAAAAAAUUAAAAUUUGAAAUUGAACGAAAAAUUAAAAAUAAAACUUAAAUUUCAAUUUAUUCAAAUUCAAAAAUUAAAUUUAAAUCCAAUUUCAUUUGAAUCAUAAUUUAAUUUAAAUUUUAAAUAAAAUUUGAAACAAACCUUUAGAUUUAAAUUAAUUUAAAUUUAUAAAUUAGAUUCGAAAUGCUUGAUUGAAUUUUAAUUUUUAAUUUAAGUUUAAAUUAAAAUUAAAAUUUAUAAAUAUAGAUUUUAAACUUAAAUUUAUAUUUUAAUUAAAAAAUAGUUUAAAAAAGUUAAAUUUAAUCGGAAAAAUAAAUUCCGCUCGAAUUCAAUUUCAAUCCACCUCCUAAGCCAGAUUGGAGAAAGAGGUAAUGAGAAAUUCUAUUACUUUCCGAAAUAAGAUCGGAAUGAAAAUUCUGGCAUACCAAUACGGACAAAAUAGAUUAUCGUUCCGAUUCUGAUUUCAAAUGAAAAAAUGGCGAACUAAACAAGUCUUGAUCAACUACAUUACAAAUUUUCAAGCCUCUAUCCGGCACAUACACUUUAGGGUGUGUUUGGUUCCACACAAAUUUGGAAAAAAAAUUUUCGGUGAAAAAGUUUUAGUUGUUAGCGUUUGGUUUAUAGGAAAAGAAAAACAAUUUUCCAUAAUGAUUGUUUGGUUAAAGGAAAAGAAAAUAGAUAAAAACUAUUUCAUUUAUUUUUAUUGUUAAUAUAUAAUUAAUAUACUAUAUAUAUUAUUAUUAUAUUUUAUUAUAUAAUUAAAUAUAUUUAAAAUGAUAUGAAACUAUAUUAUCAUAUAUAGAGUUAUAUAUUAGAAAAUAUUAAUAAAUAAUUUAUAAAUUUAUAAAUAAAUAUAUAUAAUAAUAUCUUAUAAAUAUAAUACUAUACUAUAAUAAAUAAAUAAUAUUGUAUAAUCAAAAAUUAUAUAUAUAUAUACUAUUAUCUAUAUAAAUAUAUGAUAUAUAUAUAUAUAAUUAUUCAUAUAUUUAUACAUACAUACAUAUAUAAUAUAUUCAUACAACAUAUAUAUAUAUACUAUACAUACAUAUUAUAUACAUACAUACAUAUAUAUAUAUAGGAUACAUGAGCAUAUAUAUAUAUACUAUCAUACAUAUCAUAAAUACAUACAUACAUAGUAUAUAUAUAUACAUACAUACAUAUAUAUAUAUACAUACAUAGCAUAUAUAAUAUAUACAUACAUACAUAUAUAAUGCAUACAUACAUAUAUAUAUAAUAUACAUAACAUACAUAUAUAGUAUUACAUACAUACAUAAUAUAUAAUACAUCAUACAUCAUCAUAUAUAUACAAAAAAAAUAUAUAUAAAUAUAUAUGGCAUACCAUACAUACAUACAUAAUAUAUGCAUACAUACAUAUAAUAUAUAUAUAUACUAUACAUAUAUAUAUAUUAAUACCAUACAUACAUAGCAUAUAAUACAUACAAUAUAAGUAUAUAUGCAUUACAUACAUACAUACAUAUAUAUAUGGCCAUACAUACAUAUCAUACAUAUAUAUAGCAUACAUGACAUACAUACAUAAUAUAAUAUGCAUACAUACAUACAUACAUAUAUAAUAUGCAUACCAUACAUACAGACAUACAUACAUAUAGUACAUACAUACGAGAUCAUACAUAUAUAUAUGUAAUAUAUAUAUAGUAUAUAUAGAGAGAGAGAAGAGAGAGAGAGAGAGAGAGAGAGUGGAGCUAGAAUACUUUUACAAGUAUCACCCGCCCCGCAUGGUGCUUUAUGUUUUUAGCCCUUGAAUGGUAGUAGAUGCAGGUUGAACAUGAUGGUGGUAGGUGUGGUAAGUAGGUUGGUAGGUGGAAUAGUAUUUGAUCUAGAUGGAUUGAUAGUAAUCAAGAAGUAAAUCCAAUGGCUAAAAACUAAUACACUAGGGGGGGUGAUAUUUGUAACCAGUAUCAUACCGCUAACUCUUAUAUAUAUAUAUAUUAUAUUAUAUAUAUAAUAAUAAUAUAUAUUAUAUAUAUAUAGUAUAUAGUUGAGGCUAAGAAUAGACUCCGAUAUAAAGGAGGUUUACUAUCGAGUUGUUUAUGCGAUGAUAAAGAGCUUCCAAAUGACGAUCCGGCCUCCGUUAAAUAUGAUCUAAACAUUAAACACCUAGAAAUUCAAUUUACCGCACUUUCGAUAUAUUAUUUAUCAUCUAAUGAAAAAAAAUGAAAUGGUGAAUAAUACUUUAAAAAAUGAUGAUAGGAGUCCUUGUAAUCAGAUCAAGAGUUACAGAUUUUUAAAAUAGUUUAUAGAGAUUUUUUAACAAAAAAUUGAAUUGAUAUGGAUUAUUUUACAUAUAUACACACAUACAUAUAUAUAUAUUGAUAAUACCAUACAUACAUACAUAUAUAUAUAUACAUACAUACAUACAUACAUAUAUAUAUAUAUAUAUAUAUAUACAUACAUACAUACAUACAGUACAUAUAAUAUUUAUAUAAUAUAUAUAAGAUAUCAUACAUAUCAUACAUAACAUACAUAUUAAUAUAUAUAAUACUAUAAAUAAUAUUAAUAUAUAUUAUAAUACAUACGAUACCUACAUAUUUAUAUAUUAUAAUAUAUAAUACAUACAUACAUACAUACUACAUACAAGAACAUAAGAUACCUAUACUAUCGUAGCAGAGCGCUCCGUGCUACCAAGUGUUUUCGAUGAUGCGGCUUCCAAAAUCGCUCGAUCGCUCCGUUAGACUUGAUCUAACACUAUUGAAAUAAUUAGAAACUAAAUUUCAUAAUUUUUCGAGAUCAUUUACCUAUCAAAAAAGUAGUCUAAGAUUAACGGGCUGAAAAUAAAAUCUCAUGAAAAAUGAUGAUAAAAGAUUUAAAUUCAAGAUCAGAUAUACUGAUCUUACUCUAAAUACGGUCGAUAAAUAAUUUUCUAUAAAAUUUUCAUCGCAUUUGGAUUGUUUUAGCACCGUUAACUCUACAAACACACGCACCACGAUCGGCCUUAAAAGUUGUCAAUUUUGAGAUCUUUUGAUCACUAGUCAAUAUGUCGAAAAAAAUCUGAAAUUUAGUUUCAAAUACUUUCAUAGUGUAGAUCAAGUCUAACGGAGGCACGAUCGCUCGAUUGAAGCCGCAUCCAAUCGGAAAGCGAACUGUAGCACGGAGCGCUCCGUGGCUACGAUACGCAAGUAGGUCCGGACUCCAUAUCAUCCCAUAUUAUAUAUAUAUAUUAUAUAUAAUAUAUUAUAAUACAUACAUACGAUACAUACUACAUAACAUAUAUUAUCAUAUAUAUAUAUAAUAGGUAGGCUACUAUGCUAUCGGAAGGCACGGCGCGCUUCCCGUCUUCGUUAUAUAUAUAUAUAUAUAAUUUGUCAUCCUAUAAAUUAAACUGCUAAUUUGGACAUAUAUAAAGUAUACAUUAGUGCAUCAAUUUAUGUAUACAGUAUAAAGUAUACAUUAUUGCAUUAUUGCAUAUAAAGUAUACUUUAUAUUACACACAUAUAAAGUAUACAUUAUUGCAUCAACUUAUGUGCAUGUGAUGAAAUAUGUCAAAUCACCACCUCUUCCAAGUUUUUUUAAAAAAUUUUUUUUUUUAUCCCUCUCAUCUGCUUCGUAAGUAGAAAAGUAAAAAGCAAAUUAUUUGCUUCAGCAGUGACGUAUUUAAUUUGUGGCUUCAACAAUUGACAACGGAUAGGUUGAUAAUCAAGGAGUUAGCCGUUGGAACGCGUUUUCGAGUCCCUAACCAAACAAGAAGUCGCCCCCAAAAAAAAAAAUAAAAAAAUAAAAAAAUAAAAAAAAAAAGAAAAUGAAAGCGUCAAAACCAACGCCAAUGCAUAGGUCAAGGAGAAGUUAGCACAGUGCUAAUUAAUUCUUUGGCUAAUUAAUUCUUUGGGUUCAAUGUGUUUAAGACUAAUUUUGAUUUGUUUACUCUCGUUUAAUUGGACUAGUAGAUAAUGUAGCAUUAGAGUCUAGUUCUCUAUAAAAGCCUCUUUUUCAAGAGGGUGGUCCCAAGUUCUAUUUCUACUCUAUUAUUUUAUUAUGAGGAGUGUUUCCAUACUCUCUACUUUUUUUUUUUUUAACUAUAAUGAGAUUAUGCAGGUCAUUUGAAGAGUAGUAUCGAAUAUUAGGCACCCAAAGAGAAAUAUUUUAAUCUUUUGAUAUCGGGAUAAUUAAGUGAUUUUGCCCCACUUUAAUUAAAUUUAUUUACAGCUUACAUUUCAAAUAGUCCUGCAUAAUCUCAUUAUUUUAAAAGAUCAAUUUUAGCUAUUAAAAUUUGAAUGACUGUAUAAUUUUAUUCUUAGAAUAAAUUUGAAUUAUAGUCUAUAUUUCUAUUAAACCAAAUAUUUUUAUGUUCCUAUUAUGUUCGAAGUAAUUUGGCUAAUGUGUUGAAUAGACAAAGAAAAAUCAUGAAACUAUCUCAAGCUGUAAAGGAAAUUUAGUUUAUAUUUUAUCCAUAAUUUUUUAAACCAAAUAGAGAGCCCAAACCACUGGUAUGAAAAAAAAAAUACACAUUUAAAAUAUUUACAUAGUAAAUAUGUUUUCAAAUUUUGUUUAAUACUAAUGUAAAAUUAUUGCCGAAAUUAGUGAAAGGAUAUCAAUCCAAAGUUUUCUUAGAUUUUACGAUGUUUAAUUGCCCAAAUACUCUCAGCAUGAAGAAGUUAGUUGUAAACCUGCUACAAGUUAUAAUAAUAAUUUUGUCCUUUAUGAUCAACGAUUAGGAUCUUUUAUUAUGAUUUAUAAAAUUAAUUACCAAAUCAACUCAAAUGGCAUGGUUUAUUAAUUCAAAAUUUUCCACAUUAUUAUUAUCAUUAUUAUUAUUUUUGUUUUGAAAAGUCAUAUAUAUAUAUAUAUAUAUAUAUAUAUAUAUAUAUAUAUAUAUAUAUAUAUACAGGCUGCUAGGCUCUUAGGAGCACGAGGCCUCCUGCUCCUGAGUAGUUUUGAUGAUGAAAUUUUCGAAUCGACGAUCGUCCGUUAGACUUUAUCUAGCGCAAUUGAAGUUUUUAGAAAAUAAUUUUUGUGAUUUUUUUAUAUUCAUUUAUCUAGUGAUCGAAAGGAUUCAAAAUCCAUAAUUUUUAAAUGAUUGAUAUUACUGUUUUUCAAGUUUAACGGUUAGAAGGUAUUCAAUCAGAUGAAAUUUGAUACAUAAUUUCUUUAUACGAUCUACAACAAGGAUCAAUAUUUUGAUCGAAUUUUUAGUGCUAUAUCACCACUUUUUAUAGGAUUUUUUAUUUUCAGCCGUUAAAAAAUUAUUGAUUUUGAAUCCUUUCGAUUGCUAGGUAAUGAUAUCGAAAAAUCGCAAAAAUUAUUUUUAGUAACUUAAAAUACACUAGAUCAAGUUUAACAGAGUUGAUCGUCGAUUCGAAAGCUCCAUCGUCGAAAACGGCUCAGGAGAACACAGAGCCUGCUCUUAUAUUGUUGCUUAUAAAAGGUGAUACCGAUGAUGAUAAUAUGUAGCAAAAUGUAAGAAAAAGACACGGGUGAUAAUACAAAUAAUAAGAUCAAGCAAUCGAGUCACACAUUUCUUUCAUUACGGUUGUUUAAAGUUUUAUUUUCUGCAUUUAAAUGCGUGCGACACAGAGAGAGGCCCCAAGAAAUAAAAACACCAAUUUUACGCAUCUCAGUCUAUCUCGUUGGCCCAUUCUUUCGUGGCCCAUCUCUUCGUCCGGCCGUGUACCCUCCCCUCCCCUCUCUCUCUCUCUCUCUCUCUCUCUCUAUCGUCUCUCUCUCUCUCAACUAAAACCCUUUUUAUGGCCUUAACACCCUCAUUGUUAUUAUUAUUAUUUUCUAGGAGAAAAUGUAAGGAAAUCCCUAACUUAUAGGCCUUUUCGGAAUACCCUCCUCAACUUCGCUUUUUUUGGUUUUUUUUUUAAUAACAUUAUAUUAAGUUUGAAUUUUUUUUUUUUUUUGACGUUGAUUGUGUUUAAUUGGCUUUCUAAUUAAAAAGUUUACAAGUUUAUUAAUAAUAUAAUUAUUAUUUAGUAAAUAUAACAUAAAUAAUUAUCUGCUUGAUAACUAAUCAAAUUAUCAAUAUUUGCAUCGAGAGACUUUUUUUCUAAAUAACUUAUAGUUAAAGAAAAAGUCUACACUGUAACCACCAGAUUGCGUUAAAUAUACUCCAAAUUAAUUCCAUUCUAUUGUGCCAUAUAAGAUGAUAAAAAUUCUGAUUGACACAACAAAAUUAUUUUAUUCUUACACUUAUUGGAAGAUAUUUUAUUAUUAUUAUUACUUAAAAAAUAUUUAUACAUUAAAUAUAUAGAGUGUAAGAUGUACACUAUAAAUUGAAUGUAUAUGUAGCAUUGCUCUUGUUUUAAGUCAUAAGUCAAAGAAAUCUCCUUCCUUAAAUACCACCCGAUAACUCGUAUAAUAGAGAACACUCCCUCCCUCCUCCCCCUUCACUCUCCUCUCCCUCCCCAAGAAGUUCUCCCUCAGUAAAAACCAAAAAAAAGAAAAAAGAAAAAAAGAACAACAACAAUAUCACAAGCCACGCAAAUGGGAGCACCUACAACGUACCCGGAUAAGGAGGAGGAGGAGGAGAGGAAGAAGGUGGGUGGGGCGGGUGCAGGAGGAGGAGGAGGAGGAGGAGGGGGGUUGAGGGUGACGGACGACGUGGACCUGCUGGGGGAGAUACUGGGGCGGCUGGACGGGCGCUCCCUGGCGGCGGCCGCCUGCGUCUGCCGCGCGUGGCACGCGGCGGCCCGCAGCGACCGUGUCUGGGAGUCGCUCUGCCUCCGCCACCACGCGAUAUCCGCCUCCCCCUCCCCAGCAGCGGCCGCCCGCUCCGCCGUCGUCGCGGCGCUGGGCGGGUACCGCGCGCUCUACCGCCUCUGCGUCGGCCCCGCCCUCCACCGCCUGGCCGCCGGCCCCGACCUCUCCCCGCUCGCCCUCUCCCUCUCCCUCUCCCUCUUCUCCAUCGACCGCUACGAGCGCCUCGCCGGCGGCCCCCACCGCCCCGCCUCGCUGCUCUUCCUCUGCAACCCCAACCUCAACUCCCCCCUCGACGUCUCCUGAUCCCCCCGCCCCCGUUCAUCCAUUAUUUACAUUUAUAUUUACAUUUAUAUUUAUAUUUAUUUCAUUUUGCAGCACUGCAAAGAAUUAUAUAUAUAUAUAGAGAGAGAGAUCAUCGUCGUUAUCAACUCGUAAGAGGAAAGAUGUACGGGAAUAACUCGUUACUUAGUUUCUCUUUUUUCCCUUUCCUUCGUCAUGUAAAUUAUUAUUACUACUACUUUAUUACUUGCUUGCGAGGAGAAGUUUUAGGCGCUCUACAUUAGUUUCAUCUGCGUUGAACAAAGAUUAUAUGAACAUCGUCUUUCCAAACUACUAGUAUGGGACGAUGCGGAUGGGCGCCACGUGGUGAGAAUGCACCCAUCCCAGCCCUCUCUUUCUCUUUAUCUGCUUUUUCUCUUGGAAAAUCAAGGCACGUGUUUUUUUUUUCUUUUGUUUUCUGUCCCCAUCCAUGCGAUGGACAUGCACUUGCCACACAGCGUUCAUGUUCCCAAAUUAGUUGGGAGACGAUGCUUAUAUAAUUUUUCAAUGAAGAUAGAUAAGGCAAUUAAUGCUGUUGGUACACCUCAAAAGGUUUAUAAAUUUUACACUUUUUUUCAUCUAAUGAUUUAUGUAUGUUAUUUUUUAUUAAUUUUUGUUAAUACUAAAUAAUUUUAAAAAAUUUAAAAAGUAUGCACCAUAUCUCUUCUUUUUGUUGGGGACCCCUCUCGCCCUAAAAUCGGCCGCAUUUGCAUCCCUACUUGUCCGCAGUUUUAAUCAUCCAAAUUUGGCUCUUUUUUUUUUUAUUUUUAGCGAAACAACUUCAGAAAUUUGAUUCACUUUAUUAUGUGCCCUUACUGUCACUUGUGUUUUCUGAUAGUAUUGUUGGAGGAAAAAAAAAAAAGAAAAGAAAAAAAAAAAAGGAAGCUUGAGCUGUGUACUUUCAAAUGAUGCCUUGUUGGAAAAUUUUUGAUUUGUUAUCAUGUGUGAAUUUUAUAGAUAUCUUAAAAGUAUUAAGUACAUAUUUUAUAUCAUAGAUUCGAAUGCAGCUUCGACCCGUUAUGAUUUAAAUUGGGAGCAUAAUUUUUGCAUAAGAGCGAUGCUAUCUGUACAUAUUUAGACCAGAUGUAUAUCUUAUAUCUCACUAUUCAAGAGCUCUCCAACAAAAAAUUGUAGGGAAGCUUCCCACUCUUUUUUUUUUUCAUAUUUUUUAAUAGUACAAGCACAAACACAAGCGAUAGUAACAAUAACUAGAGUCAAUCAAAUUUCUUAAAAUUAUUUUGCUAAAAAAAAGAGCCUAAUUUGGAAGAUCCCAAACUACGUACACUUCAUAGAUUCAAAUGCGGCCCAUCCGGGGUGACGAGGGUCCCCAACUCCUGGCGGAUUUUCUUGGCGGGUCGGAGCUCCCCACUCAAGUUUUGUUUGUAAUGUCGGGAACAAAGUCUGUACCGUUGCUACCACCUAUAUAGAAAAUUACAAUGCACAAAAAUAGGGAAACAAUACUUUGCCUAAGUAUUUCAUUUAACAUCAAUGGAAAAACAUACUAAAGAUCUGGGACUGGUUGAGGAAUUAUCUAGCAUAACUAGAAUCUAUACCACCGUACAUAAAUGUAGCGAAAAUAGAAUCUCUCGUAAAUCAAAAUAGACGAUAACGAUCAUAGAAAACAAGUAUGAGAAUAAUAAAGCAAUAUGUUGGAAAUAAUAGACAGCGAAAACUUACAAACCGGAUAGCCAAUAUAUCCGGGAACCCAAAUCGAAUCGGAUUGCUUGUUUUACAAGCCUUUUUGGAUCGUUCUUAUCUCGAUGCUUCUGGAUCUCCCACGUCUCUCGCCUUCUCCCACGCGUACGCCUUACGCCACGGAUCGUUUGCGGAUUUGAUGCGACGGAUGCCAAUCGAAGAGGGCUACUAGAGUCCUCUUCUAUGUCCACACUUCAAAACCCCAGAAACGUAGGUGGAUGACUAAUAAAGUAUAUUUCACUUUACAUUCCGGAAACAUCCUUAUAAGCCUUAACUUGAAAUAUUAUUGGUCAAUAAAUUUUUCUUAUAGAAACUCAUAAUACCCGAUUUUUUUCUUAAUUCUCUCCCUCUUUCUCUCCAUAUCCGGAGCUUUCCCUCCCUUCCCUGCUGUUGCCCUUUUUUGUUACAUGGUGCACUGUACACCAAAAUCAAUAAUUUUAUUAUAGAAUCUUAAAUUUAAAUUUAUUGAUAUAUAUAUAUAUAUAUGCUAUUUGAAUAACACACUAUCGAAAAGUAUGAAUUUAAAAUAAAACUAAUAAAACUUAAUGUAUCUUUUUAGAUGUACAUCCCCAUAUGUAAUAGCAUUUCUUUUUCUUUUUCUGAUAAAAAUUGUAGGUCAUUAGACCGGGGACUAGGGAUGAGAACGGAUAUGGAUUAAAUAGUGCUCAAAUCCAUACCCAGUAAAAAUAGGCUUAGUCAAAUAUUAAACAAACACGGACAUGACUAGAAUAUUUAAGAAAUAUAUAGAGCUAAAAGCAAAAUAAUAAUAAUAAUAAUAAUAUAUGAAAGCUUCUUAAGUUUUAUAAAAAAAAGAUAGAAAAAUAUUAAAAAAAUUAUGGAUUCUAAAAAAAUAAUAUUAAAAAUAAAUUUAAAAGAGGAUGUAAUAUAAUUGAAAAUAUAUAAAAACUAGUUCUGAAUUCGGAUAAUUUAAAUUCAAAUCCGAAGAACCAUAGUAAACCGGAAACCUGAAUUUGAAAAAUAUUCUAGUUUGAGGUUCAAAUCCGAAUCUUUAUUUGAAUCGUAAUCGGUUACUAAAUUCCAACCCAUAUUCAAAAAAUUGCCGAUUCGGAGGCUGAUUGGAUAUUUUAUCCAAUCCGUUUUCGACGAAACCCCUUUUUAAGUAUUUGCUCCACCAGAAUUGAUUCCCGGGACAUGAGAUGUAGCCUCCAAAGAUCCAUCUAGCCAACUAGUCUAGAGUUAGCUGAUUCACCUUUCCCAUGAAUGAGAUGUACAUUUUGAUAAGAAAAUUCAUUUUUAAAUAGUUCUUAAAACAAAUUAGAAAUUAAUCAAAACUAAUGUAACCUAAGAUUUAAUAGAUCUUAAAUUUUUAGAUUUAAUGAAUUUCAUUAAUAUAUGUCGCACUCUAAAGCCCCGUCCAAGGCGAAACUCCCCCAACCCGAAAAACAGAAAACUUCUUUCUAUCAAGGGAAAGAAACAAACUACAAAUACAUGCUAGCACUUUUUCCGAACGUCAGUUUUUACAUAUAAUUGUUCUACCUCACAAUUUGUGAAUGAUUACCAGAGACAUUUUCCCUUGCCAUGUCGCAAACCAAAAUAUAAUUAGCUCGAUACCGAGGGUUACGCAGCGUCACAGCCACAAACGGGGAAUGUUAGGUUUCAAUUUCUCACAUCUCGAUUGACAAAUUUUCAGACAAGCUGUCUCGCCCAGAAACAAGCAACAAAAAUAUGGACAAGAAGAGCUACAAGCAAAAUGUGUACUUAUAGUAUAUCUAGGUCUAGCUGCUAGUGAGAGCACAAACCAUCUUUGCCAUCUGCUUCGCCAUUAAGCCAUCCCGCCGCUUGUGGCCAUCCGAAUAAUCUGGAAUAUAGCUGCCACCACCGAAGCAUAAAACCAAUAUCAGCAUCAAGCAAACCACCGUAACACAAUUAUUAGGUUCUUGUAAAAUAUAUUUGACUAAAGAAUUUCGUCGUCGGCAGAUUAGAUUAGUCGAUUGCGGCGCACAAAAUGAGAGCAUCAUGCUUGCACUGUAGGUCCCGUUUCGCAUCUGCGAUUGGAUUGAAUCGGAUAAGAUGGAGAGUAAUGUUGGGAGUGAGGGAAGGUUUAGCAGCACGGAGGGUUGGAGCGGAGGUGGUGGGAUGCAAUGGAAUAUUGCCACAUCCAAUAACGUUUAAUCCCAGUCUCUAUGGUGAUAUUUACUAAUCCCAUUCCGGCAAGACCUCACCUUCUCCGAUUUGCUAUAUUCCCCCUCUUUCCCCAAUAUCGUUUCAUCGUCUGGCCUAUUCAAUCCAACUCAGGGUGUCAAACAGGACCUAAAAGUUUAAGAAAGAAACUGACACAAACUAGAGUCCUAACUAGCAAGUCAUUAGGUGGAUCAAAUCAUGACUUAACCAAGCAACUAAGCGAAAGCUUAAGAAAACAAUUAAUAAAAAAUUAGAAAGAAUCAAUUGGAAUCUAACAGCGGUUUAUGUGGAAAAGUGAAUGGUUGAGUAUGAGUAACAGACAAUCAUCAUAAUUUGCUGACUGUUGUUCUACACAUUCAUCAUCCUGUAGGAAAAAGUGGUUGAGAGAAACAAAAGCUUAAAAACACAUGUAGAAGACUUAGAAUCAAUUGGAAUCCAACAGCGGUUUAUGUAGAAAAGUGAAUGGUUUAGUCUAAAUAACAGACAAUCAUCAUAAUUUGCUGACUGUUGUUCUACACAUUCAUAAUCCUGUAGGAAUAAGUGGUGAGAAGAAUAAGGUUAGAAGUAUUGUGUAAUUACUAAUUUUUGUCAAACCCAGUAACAAAAAAAAAAUUAAGAACUACUGUUUAGAGUCCGGUUGCUAUAUUAUCGGUAGCCUGGAAGCCUCCGUGCUACCAAGUUAUUUUCAAUGAUGCGGGUUCCAAAUCGACGAUCCGCUCCGUCAAACUUGAUCUACACUAUUGAAAUUAUUUGAAAACUAAAUUUUAUAAUUCUUUGACAUUAUUUACCUGUCAAACAAGUAGUCUAAAAUUGAACGGUUGAAAAUAAUAUCUCAUAAAAAAUGAUGAUAAAAGACUUGAAUUUAAGAUUAGAGAUACUGAUCUUUCUCUAAAUAGUGAAAAAAAUUUCUAUAAAAAUUUUAUCAGAUUUAGAUUGUUUUACACCGUUACAUCACAUCGAUCAUUAAAAUUGUUAAUUUUGAGACCUUUUGAUUACUAGCUAAAUAAUGUCGAAAAAUUAUGAAAUUAGUUUCCAAAUACUUUCAAUAGUGUAGAUCAAGUUUAACGGAGCCGAUCAUUGAUUUGAAAACGGAUCAUUGAAAUCAACUUGGUAGCAUGAAGGCCUUCGUACUACCGAUAGUAUAUUAGCGUAGCUCCUACUGUUUAAAUAGAAAAAUCAAGUUCUCUAAAUAGGAAGAUGUUUAUCAUUGUGUAAUUGCUAUCAACUUCGACACACACUCCCAAAGAGUUACAACUACUAUUUUCAUAUUAAACCAAGAUGUACAAAUUUGGUAGAAUUACUAUGUUGGUUUCUAUUAUUACUUGGAUCAGAGUGGAGACAAAUGCCGGUACGAACAACUAAAGUGAUUCAAGAACUGCACCAAGAGAGAGAGAGAGAGAGAGAGGAAAAAGGAAGAUCCUAACAGAUUCUUUAUUUGUAAAGAUUCAACAUAAACUGGGGGAGAAUUAACAAUUCAUGGCAGCUGGAGAUGAUCUAAUGAUAUCUUCAUGAUUUUCUAAAAGGAGCUAAAUUUCUCUAGCCAGAAAGACCAUAAAAGAAGAAAUUUUCAGUUCCGUUCAACAUCAGGAAGAUUGCUUUCUAGUGAGUGCCUGCUAUUCGAGUAUCAAUUACAACGGCUUUCCAUCACCUAGCCUCUUCGAAAGAAAGAUGCAAUUAUGCAAUACAGAAAAUGGGCAAAAUAUUUUGAUCACACAAGAUCAUAUACUAACAUAUAUUGGAAAUAAAUCUAGCAAAUUAUAUCUGGGCCUUUACGGUAGAUUAAGUUAUGUUAAUUUGGACUUCUAUCAACAAGUAACAAGUAAUGUCAUGCUUUAUAUAGGGCCCGACCAUAUAAAGCAUAGUUGAUACUCAAAUUAACAAGAAUAAAAGUGUGCAUCCUGCUAAUUCCCGCCUAUUGAUUUGCACUGCUAGGUAGGCGCAUCAAAGCAUCAAAAUUUCUAUAGUUGACUGCAGUAGAAGAAGGAUAGGAUUCAAGAUGACCGCAUUCCAUUGACCUUCAUAUAAAGAGCUAAUCACAUUACUGCUUUAAGAACAAAAGCCAUUGAUCUUCAAAUACCAACCUAAUUACUAGAUACUACCCCGUCCAUGACAAUGACAAAUGUAAAAGCGAGAAUAAAAUUUAGAAAAUGGCACUUAAAAACAUAGACACAAAGUAAAGCAGAGGAGAUUAGAAUAACGUACAUGAUCCAACGACCACAAAAAUGAAAAAGCCGAUAACGAUAGGUCCAACAGGAUAAUCAUUCCCUUUCUUCACUGUCACCUCAGGAACAGAUCCUCUCUUUGUAAUAUUCUUCUGAAACUUCGCUACUUUCCUAUCAGCAAGACGCCUGGAAGUAGUCUGUCCGAAAAAGGUUCCAUAUCAAACUUAAUCAGCUAUAAUCAAAAACCAAACGAGAUAACAGUUGAUCUGCUAAUUUCAAGCUAUUCUAAUCCACAAACUUCAGCAUGCCGAAAUUAUCUUUAUUUCUACAAAAAGAAAAUUUUGAACCAACAAUCCUCAAAUUCCUAAGAGGUUCUCCAAUAACACCCACGGCAUUGAGAAAAUUGAAACAUAAGAAAUAGGGAUUAGCUCCCUUGUGGUUUAGCGCAUUUUCAAUCUGCUACCCUAUGGUUUGAAAAGUUUCAUUUUGCAACCUUGUUGUUCUAUGACUUUUGUCUUUUUUUCACCAUAAAGACUUGCUGUCCAGUAGUGUAUUAAAGUACUAAAAUUUAUAAACCACAACGUAGUAAAGUGAUACAUUUUAUAAAUCACAGGGUGGUAAUGUGAAAAACAUAGACUAGUAAAUUGGUAUAGUUUGUCACCUUAUGGUUUGUAAAAUGUAUCACUUUAUUAUGAUAUGGUUUACAAAUUUUAGUACUUUAAGACCUCACUUGACGGAAGGUAAUUACAGUGCUACAAAGAGAAAACCAUAUAUAAGGUAACAAAGUGAAACUGUUUAAACAACAUGUCAAAGUGAAAAUGCACAAAACCAUAGGGCGACAAAUUGAAGUUUUCCCUAACAAAUAAUACUCUCGACUCAAUUUGUUUCAGGAACAGCAGAGAAAUAACUCAACCUAUCACCUUAUUCUACCAAACCAAUAUGAUACAAAAGGGGAUUGUUGUUCUAAUCUAACUAGUUUAUUCUAGAAAAAAAAAAAAAAGGGGGAACAACAAUCCCAACCUCCCCUAUGAAUAGGGUUGUACCCCUUCUUUCUCCCUGCUUCCCCAUAAUCAUUACAUAUUCCUCAUUGUUAAACCUACCCCUGCCAUAUAUCACCUAUUCACCAAUAUUAACUAUAUGGUGUUGAAAUCUCAGCUCAUUUCGAGAACAUGAAAAAUACACCGAUCAAAAAUCAGCUUUUACAACUACACAAACAAUUGAAAACAGCGAGCGUUGUGAUAAGAUGUACAUCAAUCGACUCCAUGUUUUUCGAGAGAAAAUCCUUCUAUACUACAACAAUUCGUAAAUUUCUUGCCAAAUAUUUGCAUUAACAUAUGUAAUCUAAGACCCCGAGUUGAGCUAUGAUACUAUUGAUAUAGUAUUUGCUAUCUACUUUUAGCCCUCGGAUCCAUAAUAAUACCCCCACCAAAUCGUAAAUCCUAUGCAUCCAAAGGACAAAAAAUAGAUAGCAAACACUAUUCCUCAACUAUCCCUCUAUUGUCAAUAACAUGAUAGUUUUACACAUUUAUAGCAAAAGAGGCAUCUCCAACUCUUUAAGAUCAAGACUCUUUUUGUCGAAAUUCCACCUCAACAAGAACAGAUCUGAUCCAUCAGGAUAAAAUUAUAGAUCAGAGUACCACAAAUUUCACAUAUACCCUAAAUAACUCAAAAUUCAAGGAAAAAAAAGAGAAAAAAAAGGGGAAAUUGAAAUUUCCCUUUUUUAUUUUGUUAAUAAGAUCAGGAAUCGAGAACCAUGUCGAUGAAAUUAGCAUUUACGAGCGAAAAUUCUAGGGUUUCGCUUACCAUUGGGACGAUGGAGAGGGAGCGGAGUCGAGGAGGUAUAGGGAAAAGCUGCGAAAGGAGGGGGUACGCGAGAGAGAGAGAGAGAGAGAGAGAGAGAGAGAGGCGUUUUCGAUCGAAGACGCACCCACAACCGUAGCAGUGCUCUUAUUUAUUUGGAUUAAUUACAUAACUGGUCCUAACUUGUUUUGAUUUUUCAAUUGAGUCCCGAAUUAUUUAUAUUUUGUAAUCGGAGCCUCCAACUCCUAUAAAUUUUUGAAUAAACUUCAAAUACAGUUUCACGAUUUUUUACUUUAAUGUCUUUUAGUUUAAAACGUAUCAUUUUAGUACAUAUAGUUUUUUUUUUUUUUUUGGCACCCCCGUUAACUCUUUAUUAAAUCAUAUAUAAAAAAUUUCAGAUACUCUACCUAUAGUUUAUUAAAUAUUCAGUUUACUACUAUGUAAUUUACCAAAUUUUUUCUUUAGUAUGUGAUUUUAAUUUUAUCACUGAUUUAAUCAAAAAAUUAAUGAAGGGAUAACACAAAGAAAAAAAUAAAACCAUAAGCUACUAAAAUAAGUAAGUGCGAAACUAAAAGGAUGAUAUGCAAAGUUUUUUUUUAAAUUUGUUCUAUCAUAUCUCUAUUGUUUAUACUUAUGUUAUAAUUGAGGAAUGUUGACACCUGAGUUUCGACACCGCACCGUGUUGGCAUAGUAAAAUUAUAGGGAUAAUUGCCUAUAUACCUCUUAUGCGUAUGGAAAUAUCCGAUCUAUCCCCCCCUUUUUUUUUUCUUUCUAAAAUGCCCCUCAUAUGUUCCACCGUUAUUCCAAAAUACUUCUGCAGUUAGUCCCUGUUAAACUAACUCGGGUUAAACAUGGAUUAAAUGUAUAUCAGAGUUAAAACAUAAUUAAAAUACCUAUUUUGCCCCUACCUUAUUAAACUAUUCCCUUAAUUUAUCCUCUCUUUCUCUCCGGCCAAAUUUAUCGCUCCCAUCGUCGUCCUCCUCCGCCUUGGCCGGCGCCGGGUGGACGAAUCCCCCUUCUUCGACGGCGUCUUCGACCUCGCCUUCACCCCUAGCUCGCCGGCGCGCUCUUCCCCAUGAGGUUUACCGUCGAGAUGGAGCGCACGUGGAGCCAGGGCGGGCCAUCGUGCUCGCUCUCGAGUGGUGGCCUUCGUCCUUGUCCUCGUACGGCAGCGCGGAGCAAUAGGUGUGCGCGCAGUCCACGAGGACCAGUUUGGCUAGUGGACCGGAUGAGAGGGAGGUCCACGGUGGACCUCCCUCCUCAUUAUAUAUAUAUAUAUAUAUAUAUAUAUAUAUAAUAUACUUAUAUAUAUACCACAUCGUCGCCCCCCAGGUGCUCGAUCUAAAGUCUAAACCACCCCUAUUAGCUGUACAUAUCAUCCUGUCACUAAUGACAAUUAUUAAGUAAUUAGCGCUUAAUUAUUUAAUAACUAUGUUCCUGUAAAUCAACUGUCGUGUUUUCUGAUGAUAAUAAUAAUAAUAAUAACUAAUAGAUUUAUUCAUAUAGUAUUUUAUUUUUAUAUAGAAAUAUUAUUAUAUAAUAUUUUAUUUAUAAAUUUGUAAUUAUUUAUUAAUAUUUUUAAAUAUAUAACUCUUAUAUAUUAUUAAUAUAUGUUUAUUAUAAUUUUAAAUAUAUUUAAUCUAUAUAUAAAAAUUAUAAUAAUAAUAAUAUAUAUAGUAUAUUUGUUAUUAUAUAUUUAUUAUAUAGCCGAAUUUUUUAUUCCGAAUUUUUAAUUGGUGAACGUAUAAUACCCGUAUACCCGAAUAAUUGCCGAAUCCCAUUUUCAGCCAUAUUUUUCAACGAAUUUAAAAAUUAAAAAACGAAUUUUAUCCGAAUUAUAUCUGUACCAAAUUUUUGCCGAAUCCGAAUUAACUAACUAUGCCUCCAGCCACCAAGGUUGGUUCAGCUGCGAUCGAUCGCAUUCGUUCAUCUGCUCGCUUCCGACGUGCUUAAUUAAUUAAUUAUUUGAAUGACAAAUAAAAAAAGUAUUUGCUAUAUGAAGAGUAUAUAAGAAAAAUUAGUUACGGUACAAGGGUAUUUUAGAAUGGGCAAAAUGGUAAUUUUUAAGAGAUAACGGCAACUCACUAACAGAACUUAACUCCAAAGGUAUAUUAGAAAGACUUGAAACAUAAGAAGGAUAUUUUCAAUAUUAGCGUUCUAAGAGGGAUAAGUAAGAAAAUCGGAAAUAUUUCAGGGGUAUAUAAGCAAUUGCCCCAUUAUUAGUCUUUAACCUCUUUUCAAUUUUUUAAUUAGAUAAAAAUUUUAACCAAGUCUCUAUUAGUUUAACAGUCAAUUAAUCUAUUACUAUAUGCUAAGAAAUAAUUAAAAUUAUCAAAUUUCAAAGUCAUCAAUGGAUUUUUGGUUAAAUUUUUAUUUUUUAUUAUAAUUAUUUUAAAUCUGAAAAUCAAAAGGUUUAUUAAAGUUGACUAGGUCAUUUCAAAUGCGUAUAUGUUAAUGGGUCAUUUCAAAUGGCAUAUAGCUGAAUGGGUCUCUAUACAUUUUUGCCGUAUCAUCUUUCUAAUAAUGGAGCACGUGCAUAUCAGAUGGGAUUUCUUUUUUUCUUUUUUUUUCUAAUUGCACCAAUUCAUUAGUACAUCAGCGCCUACAUGUCAAUAUAUAUCCAUCAAUUAUACAGGAAAAAAAAAACAUAAUAGAGAUAUAACCACACAAAUUUAAAGAGGUUGGCAAAUAAGAAUUCAAUCGAAAUGAAAACCGUUAGUAAGACAAUGGAAAAAAAAAAAAAAAAUUAUAGAGGUUGAGAACUUAAUUAACAAAAAGAAAGUUGAACACUUAAUUGAAAAAGGGGAAAAAAUUGCAGACCAGUGUUAUUCUAAUUUUUUUUAAGCUAAAUAUUUCAUUAAAUUAGCUAUUAUUGGUUGAUUAGUUUGGGUUAAUUUACUAUAAAAUGAUUAAAACUUUUAAAGUUGAUAAAAUUAUUGAAUGUUCUGGUAAAAUCUCUAAUUCUUUUGAUUAAGAUCGCCUAAUUUGGAAGAAGCAAAAGCUUAGGUGUGUCAAUCCAAAAAAAAAUAUUUGAGUGGUAUAUUUUAUAAUGGCCUGUGUCUGGAGGGGACCUAUACAUUUUUACCUUUUCCCUCGACAUUCUCUUAAUUUAAAAAUUAAAUUAUUCUAAUUAUUUUAGUUAAAAAUAUUAUUAAACUUAAUAACUUAGAUAUCUUGCCUAACUCAACUCUGAGAGCACAAAUUCUCGCAGAAACCGGCAAUCCAGCUCGAUCUCUGGUGAAUAUAGUAGAAUGUAUAUCAUCAGCCGAUCAUAAGGUCGAUUAUUAAGGUGUAACUACAUUUGAAACACAUCACCAGCUAUUCCUAGCACAAGUGGCAAAAAACAUAAUGAUUGGUAUUCGAGAUUCCAAGUUUGAAUCCUAGUUGAUUUAUAUUUUUAACUAAAUUUAUUUUUUAAAAAAAUAAACGAAGCGGAAAGUUUGCUACAUUUCUCUUAAAAAAAAAAUAAACAAAGCGAAAAGUGUGCUGGUGGCCAAACCCUUCAUUGUGAUGACCAAUGAUCACAUGUCCUGCUGAUCAGGUUUUUCCUUGGGUUGUUCAACCACCUAACUGCCCUGUAACAGAAGGUCGAAUUGGACUAAGUCACAUUUGAAAUAGCAAGAGGUCAGAUUGGGCCGAAUCAUAUUCGAAGUGGCAGGAGGUUGGUUGGCCCGAGUUAUAAUCGAGAACCAUGGAGACUGCGUUUGUACGCUUUAAAUAAAUUGGUUGCAUUUUUCUUAGUUGUUUUUGGAAUCAAUGAUAAGUGCCAAUGAUCAAACACUAGUGGUGCUACGUCGGUGGAGAAUUAUUAUUCGGUGGGUUAUGUUUACAAUAAAAAUUAUAUUUAUAAAUUUAUAAAAAAAUUUACAAUAAAAUUUAAAAUUCACUUAUUUAUGGUUAAAAAAUAAAUAAUUCUCUAAUGGUAACAAACUAGGAAUAAAUAUGAAUAUAUCUGUAUAUUCUAUAAUAUAGAUGUAAAACUUAUACCCUAACCGAGUUGAGCUAUAAUACUAUCGGUAGUAAACAAGCCGUUUUACUACCGAUUUGUUUUUGAUAUAGAGCUUCCAAAUUGACGAUCGGCUCCGUUAAAUAUGAUCUAAACCAUUUAAACUACCUAAAAAUCAAAUUUCACGCACUUUCGAUAUUGUUCUUUUAUCCAUCAAGUGAACAGAAAAAUGAAUGGCUAAAAAUGAAUACUUUUUAAAAAAUGAUGAUAGGAAUCUUGUAAUCAAGAUCAAGAGUAUAGAUCUUGUCUUAAAUAGUUUAAAGAAUUUUCUCACAAAAAUUCAAUUGAUUUGGAUAUCUUUACGCCGUUAAACGAGAAAACGCCUCUUAUCGACCAUUAAAAUUACAAAUUUUGAAACCCUUUGAUCAUUAGGCAAAUGAUGUCGAAAAGAUUUAAAAUUUGAUUUCUAAACACUUCAAGUAGUAUAGAUCAUGUUCAACGGAGCCGAUCGUCAAUUUGGAAGUUCUAUCAUCGAAAACAAAUAGGUAGUAACACGGCUCGUUUACUACCGAUAGUAUUCUAUCUAGCUCAACUCACCCUAACAUGUUUGUGCUUACUUAGUUGUUAGAUAUGUUAAGCAAUUUUGGCAUUUCAGUUUUUCUUAAACUAAGAUUUUCAAUAAGAAAAUGUUUUAUCAUUAUUAUUUGAGAAAAUCAUAUUAUUUUACUUAGCUAAAUAUUUAGUUGACUAUGGUGCUUUCAAUUGUUUAAUAUUUAGAUUAACAUUUUAACUAUUUUUAAUUCUUAGAUUAAUAUUUUCUCAAACAUUAGAUUAAUUUUAUUUCCCUAUGAGAUCACAAAAAUUAAGGAGAACACUAAAUCAUAAGGAGACCACUAUCAACCCAACCUUAUAAUUCUUGAUCUAAGAGUCAAAAAAUCAAAAACACAAACUCUUUUAUACUUUCGAAAGUAUAGCUGUUCUACAUAUAAAACUAAUAUUUGGUAUGAGUUUUAAAAGAAAUAUUAUCUAAGCACUAUUACAUACUAAAUUAUUAAAGAAUAAAAUAUAUUAAGAACUCAUUAGCAUCUAUCUAUACUACUUAUAAAAGCGUGAGUUUUGAAAUUUUUUUCUUUCCAAAAAUGUCUCUAUCUUUUUUACUAAUAUUGUCAUGUCCAGUGAAUUUCAACCACUCAUUUUAAAUAAAUCUUUAAAUAAUAAUUUAUUCUUAAAUAUAGAUCUUAAGUUUUCGCCAUUAGAUCUCAUCCAACGAAUAAAAAUAAAAGUAUCUGUCAUUUUUGUUGACAAAAAUACCCUCUAUAUCCGUUAUCUCCUAUCUACGCCCCGUUUCUCAUAUUUUUUUUUCCUACCAACCAUACGUAAAACUAAAUUUAUCUCUUAUCUAACGUAAUACCCGUCAAUCAUGCAAUACCUUCGCUAAUCACGUAAUACGUAAAAUUAAAUUUAUUUGCUGCCAACAUAUAGUAUUCAAAAUUAAAAUUUAAAUUUGUAAUGCCCGCAUAAAUUUAAUACCCGCGAAUUUGAUAAUUUGAAUUUUAAUUUAUGAUAGUAGGUUUUUCCUUAAAUAAAAUAGUAGAUUUAAUUUUGACGAGUAUUAAAAUUUGGCGCGCCAUAAAAGCGUUAAAUAUUGUUAAAAAUAUUUUAAUACCCCAAAUCAAAACUAAAUCGUUAAUUAAAUAUAAUUUUAAAUAUUUUUAACAAAAUAUUCAAUAUUUAAAUAAUGCGUCGUAAAAGCAUAGAAUAUUUUUUAAAAAAAUUAAUACCCGCCCAAUCAAAACAAAAUCGUUAAUUAAAUAUAAUUUUAAAUAUUUUUACCAAAAUAUUCAACACCAAAAUAUUCUCCGUGUUCUCAAAUAUAAAAUAUAUUUUAUCUAUUUUAAAUAAAUCUUCAAAUAAUAAUUUAUUCUCAAAUAUAGAUCUUAAGUUUUCGCCAUUGGAUCUCAUCCAACGAAUAAAAAUAAAAGUAUCUGUUAUUUUUGUUGACAAAAAUAUCCUUUUUUUCAAAUAUUUUUUUCUACCCAACAAUCAUGUAAUACGUAAAACUAAAUUUAUCUCUUAUCUAACGUCCUACCCGCCAAUCACGUAAUAUCUCCGCUAAUCACGUAAUAUGUAAAAUUAAAUUUAUUACAUAUCCAAACAUUUUCUCAAAUAUUUUUUUUCUCAAACGUAAUACCUACCAAUCUAAGUACCAAAAUUAAAUUUUAAAUUUGUAAUGCCCGCCAAAAUUUAAUACCCGCGAAUUUGAUAAUUUGAAUUUUAAUUUAAAAUAUUUCUCUUUUUAUCAUUUCACAUGAAUAAAAUUAUUAAGAACUAAUUAUUUGGAUGGAUUGAAGUAUGAAUUGAAUUAGAUUGAUUUUCUAGGACAAGAUAAUGCUAACACACAUUGGCAUGAAAAAAUUAUUAAUAACUAAUUAUUUGGAUGGAUUGAAGCAUGAAUCGAAUUAGAUUCAUACUCUAGAACAAGAUAGUGCUAUAACACACAUUGGCAUUUGGAGAGACACUAUUGUAAACAAUUCAGUUGUUGUAUAAAAAUAGUGCACUUUAAUAUCGAUAAUUAGGAUAAAUGUACUUUUUAAUAUUUUAUUUUUUUGUGGUAUUUUAAAUUUAUUUAUCAGGAUCAAUUUAGCAAAAUUUUAUAAGUAAAAUUGUGCUUAAUCCACCUAUUCCAAAAACUCAAGAAAUAAAAUUAAGCUAAAUUUUUUACUUAUAUGAAUUCUUAUUAAAUUUACAUUUUUUUUAAUUUUAUCUAUUCUGAUGAUUUACUAAUAUUUAUUUUAUUAUUUUUCUUACUUACAAUGCAAUUUGUACGGAAGGGGAACUAAUGGUGACAUUUUCAAUUAGUUUAGUGACGAAUUUUGUAUUUUUUUUUAAUGAUACCAUGAUAGAUUUUGUGUUCUUUCUUUUAUGAUAUUGUAAUUCUAUUUUUUAUUUCUAUCAUUUUAUUUUAGUAAUGAUUAAAUAUUAUUUAUCGAAUCUAUAAUAUUUAUUUAUAAAUUUUUUUUUUUAGUAUUUGUGUGACGUGCGUUGCACGUGCACUUAACUAGUACUAAUAAAAGCGUGAGUUUUGAAUUUUUUCCUCUUUCCAAAAGUAUCUCUAUCUGUUUUACUAAUAUUUUCAUGUCCAGUCAUUUUCAACCAAUCAUUUCAAAUAAUUAUUUAAAUAAUAAUUUAUUUCAAAUAUAUAUCUUAAGUUUAUGCCAUUAGAUCUUAUCCAACGAGUAAAAAUAAAAGUAUAUUUCACUUUUGUUGACAAAAAUAUUCUUAAUAUCCGUUAUCUCAUAUCUAUGUAUUUCUCAAAUAUUUUCUUUCUAUCCGUACAUAGAAUUAAAUUUAUCUCCUAUCUAACGUAAUAUCCGCCAAUCCGCCAAUCACGUAAUACGUAAAACUAAAUUUACUUCAUAUCUACGUGUUUUCUCAAAUAUUUUCUUUCUCAACCACAAAUUAUGUAAUACUCAAAAUUAAAUAAAUUUUAAAUUUUGAAUUACGCAUAAAUUAAAUCUACUAUUUAUGCUAUCUACCUGUUUUCUUAAAUAUUUCAUUUUAUAAUACCCGCCAAUCACAUAGCACUCAAAAUUAAAUUUUAAAUUUUAUUUUAAAGUUUGAAUUAAGCAUGAAUUAAAUCUACCAUCUACGCAUUUCCUCAAAUAUUUUCUUUCUAAUAUACCCACCAAUCCUUUCUCAUGCACGCCAAAAUUUAAUACCCGUCAAUCUGAUAAUUAAAUUUAAUACCCGUCAAUCUGAUAAUUUAAAUUUUAAUUCAUAAUAAUAGAUUUUCUAAGUAGAUUUAAUUUUGGGAUAUUAAAUUUUGGCGUGCCAUUUAAGCGUAGAAUAUUACUAAAAAAAUUUAAUACCCGUCCAAUCAAAUCUAAAUAGUUAAUUAAAUAUAAUUUUAAAUUUUUUUAGCAAAAUAUUCAAUAUUUAAGUAAAAUCCGUCAAAAUAUUUUACACGUUUCUCAAAUAUAGAGCAUAUCUUAAUAUUCUCGCAUAUAAUAUCUAUAAUACUCAAUCUUUAUCUUAUUAUAAUACUUAUCACACAUACAAUACAUCUUUUUUCGGUAUUUUCUCAUUCUCACCUAUAAGUAUAUUUUUUAGUAAUAUCCUUUUUCACUUUCACCUAUAUUUUUUCAAAUAUUAUCAAAUAUUUUUUUUAAUAAUAUCCUUUCUCAUUCAUUGCCGACACAUCGUCAUCAUCCUCCUCAUCGUCAUCGCCAACGGUGGCAUAUUGUUGCCUUCGCUACCUUUGCCACAGUUAAAGAGGUAUUUUCAUCCAAUCUGAAAUUUUUUUAAUGUUCUUUUAUACUAUUUUUAGCAUAUAUAUAUUUUUUUUAUUUACUCAUUUUCAUCUAUACAUUUCUCAAAUAUCUAUACAUUUCUCUCAAAUAUAAAGUAUAUAUUUUUUUGUAAUAUCCUUUUUCAUUUUUAUCUAUAUUUUUUUUAAAAUAUUCUCAAAUUUUUUUUUAGCAAUAUCCUUCUCAUUUGUCCCUGUCGCUGGCACCGACAUAUCGUCAUCGUCCUCCUUAUUAUCACUGUAAUCACCGGCGCCGGCACAUUGUCGCCUUGGCCACCUUCACCACAGUUAGAAAGGUAUUUUGAUCCCACUAGAAAUUUUCUCUUUUAUUUUUUUAAUGUGCCUUUAUAUUGUUUUACUUCUUUAAGUUUUUUUUCAUGAUUUUUUAUCUAUCAUAUUGGGAUUGGGGCUAAACUUAAGCAGGAAAAAAAAAUUGCUAUUUGAAAUUUGGAUUGCUUAGAUUAAAUAUGGGCAAGCCUGCUUAAUUUUGGCCUUUAGCAUAUUUAAAUUUCUACUUACAAUUGUGAUAAACUCUUCGGCCUAAACUAAAGAACCUACAAAAAACUAAUUGAUUUGGGCUUCAACUUAUUUAGAUUGUAAUUUGAACUUAAAAUUGUUUAGAUCUGAAAUAAAUUUAUUAGGACAAAAUAAAAUACUCCAGAAUGAAAGAUUUAAAUUGAUUUGGGUUUGGACUUGCCUAGGUGUACUAAAUUUAUCUAUACUACUUAUAAAAGAGUGAGUUUUAAAAUUUUUUUCUUUUCCAAAGUGCUAUCCCCUAUUAAUAUAAUUCCAAUCAUAUACUAACGAUAUCAUUCAUUCAACUUUUAUGAUAUAAAUCACAGCCGUACAAUUUUUAUUUUAUUUUCAAAUUAUCAUAAAAUAUAUUAAUUCUUAGUCAUUGGAUAUAAUUCUUAUAUUCAAUGGCCGACGAAUUAAAUAUCCGUCAUUUUUUUUAUCUAAAUUGUCCUCAGACAAUGCGUAUUAAAUUUAAAUUUACAAAUUUUGGAUAUCAAAUUUGAAUAAACAAUUAAAUUAUUUAAUUACGGUGAAUCAAAAUUAAAUUUCAAAUUUCAAAGUAAAUGUGAAUUAAAUUUUGACGCUUUUAGUUUAAACAAUAUACUUAAAAUUUAAAUUUAUUAGAAUUCAAAAAAUAUAUAAAAAUAAUAUAGGAUAUUGCAGAUAUUUUCUAAAAUAAUAUAACAUAUAAAUUUAUAAAUAUAAAUUUUAUUGUAAAUUUUUUUUGUAAAUUUUAAAAUUUUAAAAUUCAUACCACCAAUAACUAUUAAAAUUUAAAAUAUAAAUAUAAAUUUAAUUUAAUUGAAUGUGACGUGUAUCGCAAGUACUAUAACUAGUAACAUAAAAUGCAUCACUUUAUUUUCACUUCUUUUUAAUAUUUAUCUUAAAAAUAAUUUAUUUUUGAAAAUCGUUUUAUAUAACGUGAAUUAAAUCAUAUGUUUUAACACAAAAAAAAUAUUAAUACAAGAAUUUUUUUUUGAGUUUCAAAAGAACACAUAUUUAAACAGGUUAAAAAACUCUAUAUUUUUAAAGACAGCAUGUUGUAUAUUUAUAAUACUUACUUGCAAAUAUUACACUACUUAUGAAUAGAAAGUCGGUGACGAACUACUUUUGAUAAAAAAAAAAAAAACUCAACAACCCUUUUGGUCUUAAAACUCUCUAAGAUUCCAAUUUUUCAAACGAAAAUCUGGAUUCUAAACUCUGUUACAUCUGCCCAAAUAAAGAGAAGAGUAUUAGAGGUCGUAGUAGGAGAAGAGUAAUUAGGAGAGUCAAUAAGAGAAGAGGAAAAGAGGAGAGCUUAGCUUUUUUCUUGUUGAAGCUUCAGAACCAGGGGCGGUCGGCCGUGGUGAUCGAGAAAGGGCGAGGAGCUUCGUUGAUGGGCGGAACAAAGAAGGAGCGACAGCAGGAAGCGGAAGCUCGAAGCAGAGUUAGGCUUUGGGUCGGAGCCUCAGAUUUCCGGAGCGGAGGAAAAGGCGAACCCAAGAACCGCCGGGCUGUGGAUAGUUAGGAGACGGGCGAACCGACGCCCGCUUGCCCGCAUACAGGUGGAUUGGGCGGCCCGGCUCGCGGAUCGGGGCGAGAAGGCGGACCCAAGACUCGUCGGACUAUCGAUAGUACGGAGAAAGGCGAACCGGCGGCCGCUUACCCGACUACCAGGCAUUCUUGGACCGGACCAGCCCGCUCUGGCCCACAUUUCCAUCGAAUUCGGUCCACGAGGAAUCAGAAGCCCUUCUUGUAUUUCAAUUCUCAGUUUAGUACUAUUCAAUUUAACAAAUUGCAUUGUAGUCCAUUGUACAAGGGAAUAAAUAGACAGAUUGUAACUGAACUCGGAGAUUAUUAUGGAAAUUGAUAUUUUCUUCUACUCUCAUCUUCUUCCUUCACCUCUUCUCUGACUCAAUACCUCUUCUAUUCUUCCCUUAUCUCUCUCUUUUUUUUCAAUCCCAUCCUUUCAUUUUUAUUCUUUGAUCCCACUGCGUAUGUUUGGAUGCGGCAGUCAUUGUGAUGCUUAUUUGAUAAGACCAUCGUCCUCAACAUCGUCCUCGUCUUAGCAAAAUAUCACCAUAGACGGGUUGCGUAGAGUCAGGUACGUUACAAUUGGUAUCAAAGCAGUUUGAUCCCAGGACACUGUGUGGUGAAAUCGCUUCCUAACUCCAAUCGUAGCAUUAUCGAGUUUAAUCGCGAGUAAAUUUCUGCGCUGCCAAAUCUGAUUCGAGAUUGGGUUUGGAUAAAAGAAAUCACCACAGAAAUAACCCUAAAUCGAAUCACGAUUAGAGGACACCCCCUUAAUCCUCAGAUCCAUAGUAUCCCAUUGGGCAAUAACUUAACCAAUAGGAUCAGCCCUCCGGAAACCAUCAUAAGGCAACCAAUCAUUCAAACCAAGAUUCAUUUCUUGCGAAAAAUACUUUUCUGAGCAUCAAGAUUGGGGGCAAUCGAGCAUUAAGUUUAAAUUUAAUCCAAAUGAGUAUUUAGAAGAAAUAGAAAUGGCCGAAGGAACUAGAUUGAGAUAUCUCAGUGAUCACCUCCGUUCCUUAGAAGAAAGGUUCCAGAAAUUGGGGGCCGAGCAUCAAACAGAGAUGGAAGUACUCAACCAUUAGAUCGCUGAAGUAAAAGGGACUGGGCAGCGACUAUAUGAAGUGUUGUUACAUUUUAUUAUUAAAUGUUAAUUUUUUUUUUUAUAACAUUUGCAUUGAAGAUGACAUAACCUAUGCAUGCAUUCAUAGUGCAUUCCUAUAACCUAUGCACGUAUUUUCAUUCCUAUAACUCCAAGCUAUUUAAUUCUUGUAAGUUUCACAUUUAAUUAGAAAGUUAAUAUCAUAUAACUUCUAACCCUAUGAGCCUAUAUAUAGAGUGCAUUUCGUUUUUUGAAAUAAUGAAAAAAAAAAUAAUAAGUUAUUUCUAUUCCUGUGAGAAAGAGAAGGUCAAAGAAAGGUGUUCUUUUGAUGGAGCUUUCGGCUCAUCUACUUGUGCAGAGUUGGUGAAGCCGCACGACGAGAGUCGAGCCGUUGUAUCCUGGAGGGGACAAGUCAGUGCUCUGCUACAUCGGUUCAAAGGCUUUGCCAAUCGCAGAGGGCUUGAAUCUCCUUAAAGAGAGCGAGAUAUCCGUGCCUCGGCUUGAUCGACUCGUUGAUACUUUUUUAAAUUAUUUUGUAGCUAACCUCUAUUUUUUGAAUAUUUACACCAACAAUUUUAAGGAGAUUCAAAGAUGGAGGCUACACGCGUAAAGUUCAACGAUACAGCCGGAGAUCUCAACAAGCCCUUCCGCUUCAACGGAAGCCACUUCAAGAGGUGGAAAGGAAAAGUGUUAUUCUACCUCAAUUUACUUAAAGUUGCAUAUGUUCUCACGGAGAAGAAUCCAAAGAAAAUGAAUACCGAUGAUAUAAAUGAAGACGAACUUCUCGAACACUAUGAGAAAACUGAAAAAUACGAGAAUGAUGAGUAUAACUGUCGGUAUUAUCUUCUUAACUGCCUUUCGGAUCAAUUUUAUGAUUAUUAUGAAAACACUUACUCCUCUGCAAAGAAGAUUUGGAAGGCAUUGCAACUUAAAUAUGAUAUAGAGCAAGCUGGUGCAAAGAAAUAUGCUGCUAGCCGCUUCUUUCGCUACCAGAUGGUCGAAGGAAAGUCCGUGGUUGAGCAAGUUCAAGACUUUCAGAUGAUCGCUCAUGAAGUUCAAUCUGAAGGAGUCAAGUUUGGAGAUAACUUGAUCGUACUAGGGAUCAUCGACAAGCUACCACCAUCAUGGAGGGAAUUCCGAAAAACCCUUCGACAUAAGCAAAAGGAAAUGUCUCUCGAGACAUUAAUUGCACGCAGUCGCGUGGAAGAGGGGGCAAAAGGCCAAGAUACACUUGAAGCAAAGAGAAUGAUGCUAGCGCCACUAAGGUAAACUUAGUAUCUUUUAAUACUUUACCUAAUAACAAUCGUUCUAGAAAAACAUACUUGAAGCCUAAGAAGAAAAUUAGAAAGAACAGUGAUAGACCUCAAUUUAAGAAAAAUGACCAAGGACCUCCUUCUUAUGUGAAAAAUAUAGUUUGCUAUGUCUGUGACAAAAGUGGGCAUAUUGCUCGAACUUGCAAAUACCGGAAACAUAAAGCUUUACCUCAAGCUAAUGUUACCGAGGAGCCACUUGUGGCGAUGAUAACAGACAUAUGCUUAGUGGAGAAUGCUGAAAGAUGGUGGGCAGACUCUGGUGCCAAUAGGCAUGUCUGACAUGAUGAGACUUGGUUUAAAAUAUAUACUCCCUAUGAACAACUAAGAAGUAUUAUGCUUGGUGAUUCGCAUACUUCUGAAGUUUUAGGAAGUGGUGAGGUCGAGUUAAAAUUUUCUUCUGAAAGGGUGCUUAUUUUGAAAGAUGUGCUGUAUACACCCUCGAUUAGAAAGAACUUGAUGUCAAGUUUUCUUUUUCAUAAAGCUGGCUUCAAACAGACCAUCGAGUCUGAUCAGUAUAUGAUUUCAAAGAAUGAAAAAUUUGUAGGUAAAGGUUAUGCAUGCGACGGAAUGUUUAAAUUAAACAUUGAGAAUAAAGCAUUAUCUACUUCUGCUUACAUGCUUUCUUCUGUGAAUUUUUGGCAUGCUCAUUUGUGUCAUAUCAACAGCAGAUAUGUUAGCUUGAUGAGUAGUUUAUGAUUAAUUCCCAGAUUGAAUAGUGAUUUUGACAAAUGUGAAACAUAUAGUAAGUCAAAAAUCACUAAACGACCUCAUAAAAAUAUUGAAAGAAGUACCGAAUUACUUAAGCUAAUUCACAGUGAUAUUUGUGAAUUUGAAGGUAAUCUAACUCGUGGAGGAAAUAGAUAUUUUAUCACUUUUAUUGAUGACUUUUCAAAAUAUACUUAUGUUUAUUUAUUAAAAAAUAAAAGAGAUACUUUUGAAAAUUUUAAAGAUUUCCUCCAUGAAGUAGAAAACCAAUUCGGUAAAAAGAUAAAGAGAAUUAGAAAUGAUCGAGGUCGUGAGUAUGAAUCUACAGGAUUCAACUCUUUUGUGCAGUCUUUAGGAAUUAUCCAUGAGACUACUGCUCUAUAUUCACCUGCCUUUAAUGGAGUGGCUGAGAGAAAAAAUAGAACACUUAUUGAGCUAACAAAUGCUAUGAUGGUUGACACUGGUGUACCCUUAAAUCUUUGGGGUGAAGCUAUUUUAACUAUAUGUUAUGUCUUGAAUCGCGUGCCACAUAAGAAGUCUAAGGUGACACCCUUUGAAUUGUGAAAAGGUUAUAAACCAAAUUUGGGAUAUCUUAAAGUGUGGGGUUGUCUAGCAUAUGUGAGGCUAUCAGACCCUAAAAACCCAAAUUGGGUGUUAGAGUUGCCACUUGUGUUUUUCUUGGAUAUGCUUUGAACAGUACGGUCUAUAGAUUUUUAGACAUUGAAAAUAAUGUGAUUUUUGAAUGAAGAGAUGCUAUUUUUCAUGAAGAAAAUUUUUCUUAUAAAUCGAAAAAUAGUGGGGGUGAAGAUUUUAAAAGUGUUUCAAAUAAUCCGAGUUCUUCAAACUAUUUCUUACAAAAUCAAGAAGAAAAUAUUUUUGAACCAAGAAGAAAUAAACGAAACAGAAUAGAAAAGGAUUUUGGCCCUGAUUAUGUUGUUAUGAAUAUUGAAUAAAAUUCACUUUCUUUACAAGAAGCUUUAUGUUCAAAUGAUUCAAUUUUUUGAAAAGAGACUGUAUCUGAUGAGAUGGAAUCCCUAAUUUCUAAUAAAACAUGAAAAUUAGUGGAUUUACCUCCAGGCUGUACAACAAUUGGUUGUAAAUGGGUCCUCAGAAAGAAAUUAAAACCGAAGGAGAGUGUAGACAAGUAUAAAGCAAGACUUGUCGCAAAAGGUUAUAAACAAAAAGAAAAUCUAGACUUCUUUGAUACCUUCUCUCCGGUGACGAGAGUGAUAUCCAUCAGAGCUCUGAUUGCUAUUGCUGCAAUUCAUGACUUACAAAUUCAUCAGAUUGAUGUAAAAACUGCCUUUCUAAAUGGUAACCUAGAUGAGAAAAUUUAUAUGGACCAACCUGACGGGUUCAUUGAGCCUGGACAAGAAAAUAAAGUGUGCAAGCUAAAUAAAUCCUUUUAUGGCUUAAGGCAGGCACCUAGACAGUAACAUGAAAAAUUUGAUUCUUGCAUGAUUGAGAAUGGCUUUAAAUUAAACAAGUAUGAUAAGUGCAUCUAUUACAAAAUUUUUGAAAAGUUGCAUGUAAUUGUUAGCCUUUAUAGAGAUGAUUUGCUAAUUUUUGGGUCUAACUUAAAUGUUAUAAAUGAGACAAAAAUUAUGCUAAAUUAUUAUUUUGAAAUGAAAGAUCUUGGUGAGGCUAACUAUAUUUUGGGUAUGAAAAUUACCAAAACACCGGAUGAGAUCUUUCUUGAUCAGUCGCAUUAUGUUGAGAAAAUUUUAAGAAAGUAUAACUUUCUUAAUUGCAAGCAUGUGACUACACCUUUUGAUUCGAGUGUUCACUUAUUUCCUAUUAAAAGUGAAAAUGAAAAUACGCGCAUAGGUUAUAGGAAUGCACUAUGAAUGCAUGUAUAGAUUAUGUCAUCUUCAAUGCAAAUGUUAUAAAAAAAAAAUUAACACUUAAUAAUAAAAUGUAACAACAUUCCUCCAUUCAUUUUAUUAUUUCGCCUAUGUGAGCAUGGAAGUGGGGCCGCAUCCUAUGAGAACGGGCUUAUUCUCAAAUAUGCUCAUGAAAACCACGAUCAGCACAGAGCCGUAACGUGCUAGCUAUUAAAGCUCAUGUCAACACCUGGAUUGUUAUAUAUGAGCCAAUAACUUUCUAUUUCCCCUAAGCAGCCAAAGUUCAAGUCUGAGACCACUUUGGCUCUGGAGUAGAGAUUACUGUUUCACUAAGUGAAUGUUCAAUGCAGAGCACAUCUUUAUUAUGUAUAACGAUCCCUUUUUGUCCAUCAAAUUCUCACAUAUUCUUAAUAAUAAAAUGAGUGGGGGAAUAUUGUUACAUUUUAUUAUUAAAUGUUAAUUUUUUUUUAUAACAUUUGCAUUGAAGAUGACAUAACCUAUAUAUGCAUUCAUAGUGCAUUCCUAUAACCUAUGCACGUAUUUUUAUUCCUAUAACUCCAAGCUAUUUAAUUCUUGUAAGUUUCACAUUUAAUUAGAAAGUUAAUAUCAUAUAACUUCUAAUCCUAUGAGCCUAUAUAUAGAGUGCAUUUCGUUUUUUGAAAUAAUGAAAAAAAAAAAAGUUAUUUCUAUUCCUGUGAGAAAGAGAAGGUCAAAGAAAGAUGUUCUUUUGGUGGAGCUUUGGGCUCAUCUACUUGUGCAGAGUUGGUGAAGCCGCACGACGAGGGUCGAGCCGUUUUAUCCUGGAGGGGACAAGUCAGUGCGCUGCUGCAUCGGUUCAAAGGCUUUGCCAACCGCAGAGGGCUUGAAUCUCCUUAAAGAGAGCGAGAUAUCCGUGCCUCGGCUUGAUCGACUCGUUGAUACAUUUUUAAAUUAUUUUGUAGCUAACCUCUAUUUUUUGAAUAUUUACACCAACAUGAAGCAUUACAGGUCGAAGCUGCCAAACGGCAUGAGGAGCUGCUUAAGUUGUUAGCAGCUCAGCCACCUCCACUCAAGAGCCAAGACGUGGCAAGCCCUCUUGAGGGCAAAAUUCCACCAUGCGGUAAUCUUGGGAACAGUAGAAUGCCAAUAACAAUCAGAGCAGAUAAAGGCAAAGGGAUUUUACCAACUCCAAUGAGACAACCAGAAGAAGAUAAGAAUCACAAUUCACCAUGUAUCUAUCAACAAGCAUAACCAUCAACAAUUACCUUACCUGAGACUGGAUUUUCCUUUUUUUGAUGGUGAAGACCCUCGAAGUUGGAUUGAAAAUUGCGAGCAAUACUUUGAGUUAUAUCAAAUACCCCAGCACCAAUGGUUAAGUGUGGCAACCAUGCAUUUGAUUGGUAAGGCAAGGACAUGGAAACAGGGAUAUUUCAUUAACAAACAACUCGUUUCGUGGGAUGAGUUCACCGAGGCCGUAUGUCGAAGAUUUUCAUAAAUGGGAGAGAGAUACGUAAUCUGGGAAUUCAGUAAUUUAAGGCACAUGGGUACAUGUGAAAAGUACCAAGAAAGGUUUGAAGAAUUGAGAUUCCUACUACUUUAUUACAAUCCCCAUCUAAUUGAAGAGUACUUUGGCCUGAAGGAGGAAUUAAUUCCAUUCCUAAACAUCGCGCAUCCGUGUUCAUUGGAGGAAACAUACGAGCAAGCUCAACUACAUGAAAAGGCCCUUGCUGCCCUUAACCGAAGGAACAGAUACAAUCCUAAGGCAUUAGGAGCACCAUACGAAUCGAAUUCUUUAUAUAAGAACGCUGUCAGCAAGCCCACUGAAAAUACCAAGCCUCAAUAUUCCACCUUACAAAAGAAUCGUACAAACCAAACCCCGAUUAACAAGCAACUAAUGGAUCAAAGGAGAGCUGCUGGAUUGUGUUUUCGAUGUGGAGAAAAGUACCACCCGGGGCAUGUUUGUGCCAACAAAACCCUAAAUACCAUGCAGUCUAUGGAAGAAGUCAUGGAAGUUUACGAUGAAGACUGUUUACACGAGGAACAGAAUAAAGGAGUAACUUCAAUGGGGGAACAACAAGAAACAAAAGUAAUUCCUGAUGAAGGAGAACUACAAGAAAUUGGAGUUUCCAUACAUGCCUUGAGCGGAGAAAAGCCCCAAGAUACUAUCAAAAUACGAGGUGAAGCAAAAAACAAAACAAUUACUAUUCUGAUAGAUACGGGAAGCACGCAUAGCUUCAUUGACUUACAAGUGGCUAAGGAGGUAAGAGCAAAAAUGCUGACAGCAUUGCCGUUGGUAGUGACAGUUGCUAAUGGGCAUAAGGUGUUAAGUAAACUUCAAUGCCCGGGGUUUUCUUGGACCAUGCAAGGACCACGCAUUCUCAACAUAUUUAAGAGUGAUCAGGUUGGAGGGUUCAAGCAUCGUGUUGGGUAUUGAUUGGCUCAAAUCCUACGGAAAGGUAACCUUUGAUUUCUUAUCAAAUUCAGUCACCAUUACCAAAGAGGGACAGAUACUAGAGUUGAAAGGGAUUGAAGAAGGAGCUAAGCUAAAACUCAUUACCGCAACCCAAUGGAGUCAAGAGAUGGAAACAGGAGAGUGUUACAUUUUAAGUCAUCAAAUGCUACCCGAAAAACCCAAGCCAGAAGCAAACAUUCACCUUUGCAUCCAGCAAGUGUUAGACUAGUGUCCAGAUAUCUUUGAGGAGCCGACAGGGUUACCACAGCCUCUCAGCCAGGAUCACAAAAUUUUGUUACAAUCUAACACCACGCCAAUUAAUGUAAGGCCAUAUAGAUACUCACAUGAACAAAAGGAAGAGAUUGAGAGGCAGAUAAGAGAGCUAUUGAACAACUCGAUAAUACAGCGUAGCAACAGUCCAGUCGCCUCACCGGCUCUGUUGGUAAAAAAGAAAGACGGGAGUUGGAGGAUGUGCAUUGACUAUCGGCAACUUAAUAAAAGUACUAUCAAGGACAAGUUUUUCAUACCCAUCAUCGAUGACCUAUUAGACGAAUUGGGAGGCUCGAAAUACUUCUCCAAGAUAGACCUGCGAUCUGGUUAUCAUCAAAUCAGGGUGGACCCAUCUGAUAUCCCAAAUAUAGCAUUCUGAACUCACCAAGGACAUUAUGAGUUUAAGGUUAUGCCAUUUGGCCUCACCAACGCACCCGCCAUCUUCCAAGCUAUUAUGAACUGCACGUUCGAACCUUACUUACGAAAAUUUAUUUUGGUAUUUUUUUAUGACAUUUUGAUCUAUAGUAAAAGUUUGGAGGAUCAUGUGAAGCACUUACAAAUUACAUUAGAAGAGUUGCGAAGAAAUCAAUUAUAUGCUAAAAGGAGUAAGUGUUACUUCGGGCAAGACAAGGUGGAAUAUUUGGGCCAUAUUAUUUCCGCAGAAGGAGUCGCCAAACACCCAGACAAGAUUGAAGCUAUGAUCAAGUGGCCAACACCCAAAUCUGUUAAGGAGCUUCGAGGAUUUUUAGGACUAAUGGGUUACUAUCGGAAAUUCAUUAAAAGGUAUGGACAACUUAGUAAACCAUUGACCAAACUAUUGAAAAAGGACCAUUUCUGGUGGAACGACGACACCCAGCUAGCAUUUGAAGAGUUGAAGGCAGCCAUGACUAAAGCUCCGGUGUUAGCUAUGCCCAACUUUGAUCUAUCUUUUACCAUAGAGGUUGAUGCAUGUGACACGGGAAUCGGAGCUGUAAUGUCUCAAAACAGAAAACCAAUCGCUUAUUUGAGCAAGGCGAUCGGGGGUAAACAUCUUGGGUUGUCUACAUAUGAAAAGGAGUUUCUAACUAUACUCAUGGCAGUGCAAAAAUGGAAAUAUUAUUUAAGCAUAAGGACCUUCAUAAUCAAUACGAAUCAUGAAAGUUUAAAACAUCUUUUGGAAUAACGAAUAUCAACUCCAAUGCAACAAAAGGGAAUGAUGAAGUUAAUGGGCCUUAACUAUACAAUCCAGUAUAAAAAGGGGAAGGAAAAUGCUAUAGCCGGUGCAUUAUCGAGGAUCGUUAACGAAGAAGGCAUUACGCUGGCUAUAACAGCAGCUAUACCAACUUGGGUUCGAGAGGUGGCGGAGAACUAUAAAAGGGAUCCACAUUGCGAGAAAAUGAUAGGUGAGUUAGCUUUGCAUCAAAACACCCAAGGGGACUACUCAUAUGGCAAUGAGCUGCUACGAUAUAAGGGCAAAUUGUACAUUGGGGAAACAGGACCAUUAAGGAAAAGAAUUCUUGACCAAAUGCAUAAUUCCGCUUUGGGAGGCCAUUCAAGGAUACAGAACACCUACCAAAGAGUCAAAAGCAUUUUUAUUGGCCGGGGUUAAGGAGAGUAGUUGAGGAGUGGGUAAAGGGGUGUACCGUAUGUGCUCAGAACAAGGUGGAUGGAACACCCUACGCAGGUAACUGCUAAAAUAAAGGACUAUUUAUAGACACAUUUGGGUGCAUAGAAAUUGGAUGAAAGAUAUUGGCAUGUAAAAUUUGUUUGUACUAUUUUUUGUGGCAAUAUUUGUAGGCCAUAGGCUUUUAUAAAAAAAUAAGAAGAUGAUUGAACAUGCCUUGUGGAUGAACUUCUUUUCUAUUAUCAUAAUAACUUAAAUGCAUUCUCAGUGAAUAAUGAAUGACAACCUUAAAAAUAUAAAUAAAUAAAUAAAAGACAAAAGUUACAGCCAAGAUUUUGUUUUUAAAUUGAUUGUUAAAAGAAGGUUUGCAUGUUAUAAGGAUAUUAAAUAUUAAAUAGUCUCGGAGAAAUAAUAUUGUAAGGAUAAAGAGAGACAUCAUCCAUUAACUAUAUAUCCACCAAUGAUCAGAAAGCACAUAGCCGAGAAAUUUCUAAUAGCGAGUUUAUAUUUAACAUUUAUGUUUUUUGAAAAAAAAAAUCAAAAUUAUCCUUGAUUUAGAGCUAGAAUUCUUAAAUAUGUCAUAUUUCUGGUUUCUCUUUUUUUUUUGAUUUUUUUUUCUUUUAUAUUGCUCGGUGACCCUUUUACACUGGAAACUCCUUUACAAACUAUCUACAUAAUAUUAACCCGAUGUAAGGGCACAAACCCGAGCACCAAUUUCGAGUUUCCACAACAAAAAUUUUAGGAUUCUGCAGUUUCCUUUUGGAACAUUGCAUUGCUGCCAACGCAGCUUAACACUAACUUUGGAAGGAAAAAAUUGCACAAUACUCUAGAACUUUAUAUUAAAUGAUAUUUAUAUUUUAUUAAUUAGUAAAAACGUAUAGAACUUGUUUAAACUAUGGACCAUAUUUCAAUUUACUAUCAGAUCAUUCAAAAAUUAAAUUUUACCAUCCAGUCUUUCAGUUUGUUUAAUUUGAGUCAGUCAACGCCACUUUAAAUCAACGAUACUUCGAAUUUAAAAUUUAAGCUAAUUUUUUACUUUAAUAAAUUUAUAGUUGUGAGAAUUACAUAAAAUAUACUAAUUAAACCAGUAAAAAUAAACGACUCAUCCAAAUUUUGAAGUCAAAGUAUAACAUUCCAAUAACCCUAUAGUGGAUGAAAAAAGAGUUUUGAUUAAAAAUGUAAGAAACCACGCACCCUAAUUAUACUAAUAAUAAUAAUUGAGAUUAAGUAUUUUUAGUCGGUGGUUUAGACUGAUGAGUUAUAAUUGCUAACGCGAAGUCAAGCAAAUUGAAAGGUUGAGCAGCCAACUCAAAAUGGUUCAUAAUUCAUGUAAAUUGUGUAUUCUUUUUUUAAUUUUCUAGAUCAAAGAAAAAUAAUUUAUUCACCAAUUGUUUUCAUGCUCAUUUUCAUACUUCUAGAAACGGGAAUUAAUUGGAUCUUAGAAAUAAAUUGUAACUUUAACCUACUACAAAAUUCUAAUUUUCAUGAUUUUUCAAAAUAUGCAUUCCAUCGUCUUGCUAAUUUAUCAUAGCCUUAAAUAAUGAGAUCAUUUAUUCUUUCUUAUACUCUUUUGCGCAUUUUUUUACAUUUCUCUCAACAACGAAAUAAGCCAACCAAAUUUUGGGCGUGUUUGGUUCGCUUCUUUUUCAUCCUGGAAUCGGAAUCGGAAUGGGUGAAUCCGUUUGUGGGUGUUUGAUACGCGGGAGUCCCAUUCCAAUUCCGAUUUCCGAAUGGAAUGGGAAUCCCCCAAUCAUCUCUUUUUUCAAUCCGGCCUAGGAGGCCGGAUUGAAAGUUGAAUCCGGACGGAAUGGAUAUUUAUUCGGAUUAAAUUUAUUUUUUCAAAUUUUUUAAUUAAAAUAUGAGUUAAAAUUUAAAAAUUAAAUAUAUAAUUUUAAAUUUUAAUUUAAACUUAAAUUAAAAAUUAAAAUUUAAUCAAGUAUUUCGAAUCUAACUUAUGAAUUUGAAUUUAAAUUAAAUUUUAAUUUAUAUAAAGUUUUAUUCAAAUUUUAUUUCAAACUUAAAUUAAAUUUAUGGAUUCAAAUUAAAAUUUAAAUUGUAAUUUUAAGUUUGAAUUUGAAUAAAUCAAAAUUUAGUUUCAUAUUUUGAAUUAUCCACUCAACUUCAAAGUUUAAUUUUUUUUAAAAAAACAUAGAUUUAAAAUUUUGACAUUAUUUCAAAAUUUUGAUGUAAUUUUUUAAUAUUUAAUAUUUAAUUUGAAUUUAAAUUAAUAUAUUAUAAAGAUAAUGUUAAUAUACUAAUUUGAUUACGUUUUUUAUAUCACCUGAACCAAACACCGACAAUAGAAAUGAUUUAUUCCGAUUUCGAUUCAGGUGAUGAACCAAACAGAAUUAGGUAAUGAGUCAUUCCGAUUCCGAUUCCAGUUUAUUUUGAUUCCGAUUCCGACUCCAACUUCGAACCAAGCACGCCCUUUGAGUGAACAAAACAAGAUGCUACGCAAGUUGUUCCAAGAGUCAAAUGAUGCUACAGAUUAGGACUUUUUUUCAAAAUAAUCCUAUAAAUUUUUUUAAUUAGGUAAAUAACUCUAUGAAAUUUUUUUUGACAAACUAAUCCUUCUUUUGCCAUGUAGGAGCCACGUUAGAAUUUUUUCUUAAAAACGGUGAAUAAUUCACAGCCUUCAUAAAGACGAUGAACGAUUCAGUGCGUUUCUUAUUUUUUCAGAAACUUCUUGCGCUUAUUUACUAUUUCUUUCUAUAUCCCAUAUAUAAUUCUAACCACCACAUAAAAAUUUUAACAAAUCACAUACAAUCUUAACAACCUGAAAAUCAUAAUAAUCUAUCCGUACAAUCCAUAUAUAACAACCUGAAAAUUCUAAUAAUCUAUUCAUAUAAUUCUAACUAUCAAAUAAAAAUUUUAAUAAUCCACUUAUAAUCCUAGCAAUUUCACUUUUUUUAUAUUUUCCAUAUAAUCCACGUACAAUCUUAAUAAAUGCGGUGAACAAUUCACCGUCGGUAAAUAACAUGAAAGAAUGCGGUGAACAAUUCACCACUUUUGAAAGACAUGAAACAGAAUAAUUCACCGCGUUUUGAAAAAAAAUUCUACAUGGCGAAAAAAGGAUUAGUUUGCCAAAUAUAAAUUUGACUGGACUAUUUUACAAAUUACAAAGUUUUAGAGGAUUAUUUUGGAAAAAAGUCCACAGAUUUAUAAGAUGAUACGUAGUAUUUAAACUUGUGUAUAUGCUCAUGCAAUUAAACGUUAUAGUUGUAAUUUUGUUUUAAAUGGCUGAAACAUUCUGUAACUGUUAUACCACAUCCAGAAGAUACUAAUUCUGCACCCAUAAAAGAAGAAGUAAAUAGUUUUUUUAAAAAAGACUUAACUAGGACAGAUUUGAGGAGCCAAAGUGUAUUACUCAGAUCAAGUUCAAUCAGAUUCCCCNUGCUACCUUUCUCUCUCGAAAAAAAAAAGAAAAAAAAAAAAGAAAAAAAAAAAAAAAAAAAAAACUGAUUCUAAAACUGCCCACCAAUACAAAAAUCCAGUACACUCUUAUUAAGCUCCCCACAAGAAUAAAUUUUGAUGUAAUGGAAAAGGAACCAACAUAACAGAUGCUCUGAACAUCCAAAAUGAGAAUGGUUGCAGAAGAAUUACACCAUAAAUCCUAUCCAAAAUGAGAAUGGUUGCAAAAGAAUUACACCACAAAAUCCUAUCCUGGUUUAUCAUCUAUUCAACACCCAGAUCGAUAUGUGCAUUACAGUUAAUUGCUGUAUCCUCACAAUAUUGCUAUUUGUUGCCGAAUACCAAUGUACAGCAGUACACGGCAAUACAUGUAAAUAAACUCAGAAUACACAUAUUUAUAUGUAAAAUGCUCGUAAAAGAGAGCUCUAAGAAUCCAUUACCGAUUCAGAGGACGAAAAGGAAUAAUACAUAAAUGCUUAUUCUUUUGGAAACAAAAUUACAUACAUUAGGGAAUACAAUAUGGGUAAUAGUACAAAGCAGUAGGGGAAAAACGAAUACAUAUACAAACACCGUAAGAAUAAUGAAGAAUACUGUAAUAAUAUAAAGAUAAGAUGAGAAGUUAAAAAAUUAAAACGUAUUUUUCCUGCUUCUGAUAGAAUACAGUUUGACCAUCCAUACAUCCAACAAAUUUCUGUGGUACGAGGGGGGGAAAAGAAAUACUAUAGUUCACAUACAUAUAUACAGCAUUCAAUAAAUUAUAUUGCAUACCCUACUCUAAGCAUCACCAAUAUACAAGUCAAAACAUAUGAACAAAAGACAAUUGCUUAACUCAUUACAAAAUCAUACAUACAACAUGGUGGGGUGGAAUCUACUUAGUUAUCUCGUGAGGAUGCUCUUUGAGAGGGACUACGGGUUUCUCGGGAACGUUCCGUAAAAAGUUCGCUGACCAUCUUAUCCUGGAAAUUGAAGUCAUCCUCUUAAUGUAGUGUUUCAAAUCCUGAAGUAUAUAGCAAAAUUGAUGAUUAUAACAUCCGCUCAAACUCUAUACUAUGAAGAGCAUCAGCAGAUGAUGAAUGGUGCAACCAAUACAUCAAUGGGCAUUGUUUGGCAAGAGUGCCAGCUAUUUUAUUUGUUUACCAACAAAAAGAAAUAUAGAGAUGUCCAUCUGCCAGGGCACUCCACUGAAUUGAAGAAGCAUUGAAAACGAAAAAGAAAAAAAAUAAAAGAAGAGAAAGCGUAAUUAAACAAGACCUAACAGUUUUAUUUUUCGUAUCUUUGAGCUUUUCAGUUUCUACGUUUGUGCUUUGUUAAUUUCAGCGGUUUCAUUUUCAUAUAAGAUGGAACAUCCUUUCUACAAAUUCACCUGAAAUGUAGUUCAAAUCAAACUGGUUUUUUAUCAAAUCGUCCAAGUUUCUUGCAAUCACAAACCAAUCACCUCUAAGAAUUUCAAUAUUCGAAGGUGCAGUUGUUCUCACAGUAACAGUUGGCUGAUGAUGGUAUCUUUCUCCACUUAACAAUAUAAAGGCAUAAACUAAUUCAGACUUAAUAUGUCUUGACAUAACUUACAACACCAGUAUAUAUAAUAUAUACACAUAUAGGGCAAUAUUGCUCUCAGAGAGUGGUAUAGGGUUUCGGGAUUGUUGUUUUCUGUUUGAGGUUUAGGUAUAGGGUUUUAGGUUUCAACAAUUGAACCAAGAAAAACAAGUAUGAAGAGAAAAGGACUCACCGGAUAAUCGGGCAGCCAUUGAAAAACCAAGUUCAGAUGGUCCGCCACUAUACAGCUCAGCCAUCCAAAGAACUGUUUUGCCAUGCUUUCUGCUUACGAAUUAGUCACCCUGCAUGAUUGAGGAGAUAACCAGAGAAAUCAGGCAGCAAUGACAACUUCCUAGAACGUUGGAUCUACCGCAUCGGACUCAAAGAACCGAGCCACAGCAGAGUAGAGCUGCUCUUCUUCAAACGGCUUAGACACAUAGCCAUCCAUACCACAUCGCAAACAUUCAUCAUGUGUUGCCUGAAUUACAUCUGCUGUCAUAGCUAAUAUAGGUGUGUGCCAAUGGGUCACAUCCCCGUUAUCCAUAGAUACUUCUCUCUCAAUCAGUUCAUUUAUUUUUUUCUCACAAGAACGGAUUUGUCUCGUGGCCUCGAAGCUGCAAAUGAUGGUAGGAAAGACUAAGUAGAAUAUAAUAUGAAGUGAUUCUAGUAACAUAAAUAAUGAGCAUUGAGAAAAAGAAUGAAAAAAAUUUUGACAGAGAGUGGUGUACUCUACAAGUAAUUGGGCAAAUCUCUCAUUAUAGCUGUGUAGAAGUCAGGUCCAUCUUUUUCACAUAAUAGAAUGAAAACUGAAGUGACUCUCUUGAUAAUCACUAAAGAGUUACUAUAAUUGGUGAAAACAAUAAAAGAUAAAGGUUAAGAAAUUCAGAUACUUGAGAAUACAUCCUACUUGAACAGAAAUGAAGAAGUUCACUCUUCCAAUCCAUUAAAUGAAGAUAGAGGUUAAGAAAUUCAGAUACUUGAUAAUGCGUUCUAACUUUAAACAAAAAUAAAGAAGUCGACUCUUCCAAUCCACUAAAUGUUAUAAGUUGUGUAGAGAAUUUUUAAAGAAACCAAAGAUGCCAAAUAAACGUGAAAAAAACAAAUUGUCACAACAACAAUUAUUAACCUCUCAUCAUUCAUGCAAUGUAUGGGGACUUACUAACUAUAAGGUCAAUCAUGUGAAGCGCACUAUCUCUUCAAGUAAAACUAAUCUCCAUAACAGGAGCAAAAGGAAAAAAAAGAGUACCCAUCCAUCUCAGGCAUCUGAACAUCCAUAAAGCAAGCAUCAAACUUGUGACGAGGCUGUAGCAUCACAAUUGCCUCCUUUCCACUAGCUACACAGGUAACAAUAGCUCCAUAUUUCUUCAAAGCAGCAGCUGCAACUCUACGAUUAACUGCAUUAUCAUCUACUACUAAAAUCUGUUUCUCUUUCAAAAGGCUUUGAAGUGCCAGCGGCUGUCCUCUAACCUGCUGCCUUUUUAUCCCUACACCAAGCGCUUUUCGAAGGCAAACAGCCAUCAUACUAAGGCGAAGGGGCUUCCGUAUACAGUCAAUAUAUCCUGCUGACUUUAACUCAUCAAUCUCAGUUAGACUUAAAGAAGUAGCCAAUAGGAAGAGCUUUGGGGUGCUUUGUCUUGGCUUAAUUGUACUGCCAUUUCGUCGAAGGUCAGUAAGAUGACUGGGAAAUGCCAGACCGGAUCCUUCACCCCAAGCUUCCUUAUCAACAAGCACCAUGUCCAAUUUGCUCGUCCCGCUGAGAAAGUAGAAUACCAAAGUAAAUAAAGGCUAACAAAUAUUGUUAAGAACUCUUAUAUAUGUUGAUGAAUGUGGCUUAUAUCUAGUGCACCCUGCCGGGUUCUAAGAGUCAGCCUCAGUAGAAUUUAGGGCUCUUUUAUUAUAAAAUCAUGAUUAAUUGGAUAUUUUAGUAUACAUUAUUUUUGAAUAUCAUAAUCAAUGCUAAACGAAACAUACAUAAUCAAUGCUAAAUGAAACAUACCAUUACGUUCUCACAGCAACAUACUUAAAUGAAUCAACAUUUACAAAAAAAUACUCUCAAAGAAAAUUGGGGCGGUGAAUCAACAUUUACAGAAAAUAAAGCAGCAGUUAAAAAAAAAAAGCUAUGGCAUGCUUAAAAUAUAUCCUAAACUAGCAUCCAACUUUCAAACAGCUAACCAAGGAAAAAGAAAAAGACAAUUACCUUAAACUGGAUGCCUCGAAAAUGGCCGAAAGUGCAGCUUUUGGGUCAGUGGCAAUAUCUGCUUGUAUCCCUAAUCUCUGCAGAUGAUACUUCGAGAUCUCAGCACGUACUCUUCUCCCAUCAACAACCAGUGCUCUCAUUCCCCAGAAAUCUGAGAGAGUAGCAUCGAAAUGGUACCUCUUCAUAUCUCCUGAAUUCUUCUUUCCUUCUGUGAAAACAGCAGUGAAAAAGAAAGUACUUCCAACCCCAGGUUUACUAACAAAACCUAUUUCUCCACCCAUUAGGUCAACUAAGCAUUUGCUAAUGCUCAAUCCAAUACCAGUUCCACCAUAUGUACGGGAAGUAGAACUAUCAGCUUGCAUAAAAGGUGUGAAAAUACGGCUUUGAGCAUCUUCAGGUAUUCCAACACCAGUAUCUUCGACUGUUACUAAUAGGUUUACUGAAUCACUUGGUUCAGUUGUAGACUUGAACAUUCGGAAGUUUUCCAAGUUUCUCCGUCUAUCUACUACUUGAAACCCACUUAAUGUGUUAUAUGAUUUAUCUCUGCAAUUAGUACGUACUUCAGCAUUUUCAUGUGAUAUUGGGCUGGUAAUGUUAUUAGAGAUCUUCACUUCUCCAACCAGAUGCACCGAGACAAAGAUAUGUCCUUCUUCUGUGAACUGCAGAUGUAACCAAAUCAGCUACAGGGUUAUAAUCUAGGGGAGCCAAAAAUGAUUGGUAAGCAGUAAGAAAUAAAAGUUUCAAUUUCUAUUAUGCAAAUGUAUCACAAACUUUCAGAAAGAAUGUGCAAACUCAAGUGGAGAGGCAGACAUCAUACGGUAAUCAAGAAAACAUCAUUACAUGCAAAAGAUAUAAAGCUAAAAUUGAUAUACAUUAUGUAAAAAAUUGACAUAAUCUAAGCUUUGGAAUUGUAAAGGUUUGUUUAUUUUAAAUUUUUAAUACGAUCAAGACCAUGCAACAUAUUGUAUACCUGCAGAAAUCAUUAGACUGACACUUUUGACAAAUAAGCUCAAUAAAAUAGGGAGAUGCUUGAUAAAACUAAACAUGCAACAAACCUUCACAGAAUUUCCAAUGAGAUUUGUAAGGAUCUGCCUGAACCGCCCUGGGUCCCCAAUAAGAACUUCUGGAACUUGAUCAGAUACAUACACGGCCAACUACUCUCACCACAAAAAAAAAAAAAAGAAAAAAGAAUGAAAUACCACAAAUACAAUGACUAUUAGGGCCAACAACAGCUAAAUAGAACUAAAUAUGUUAUGAUUUAGGGCUUUACCUCUAUACCUUUGACCUGUGACUUGUCUGAAAAUAGAGAAAGCACAUUAUCCAGAACAUCACGGACGUCAAAAGGAACAGCCUCUAGCUCAAGCCUUCCUGAUUCUAUCUUAGCCUGAUCAAGGACCUCGUUUAUUAGAGUUAUUAGAGCCUUUCCACUUUGUUGAGCAGUCACUGCAAAAUCUUGCUGAGUUGCGUCGAGCUCCGUGUCGAGCAGCAUCUGCAACAUGCCUGAAUAGCAAGACCAUCAGUACCUUCUUCUUGUCAAUAUUCUCUAGCAAAAAUGUGGAAAAUCAACCUUAAAUAACAGGAAAAAAAAAUGCAUACUCAUUACAAGGAUUUUAAAAAUUCACAUACCUAAGACGCCGUUCAUUGGAGUUCUAAUUUCAUGGGAAACUGUUGCCAGAAACUACAUUGGACAAUAAAAUCUAAUUAGUUACAAAAACAACUGAGUUAGACAAUAAAAUGGAAAUAUAAUAGUUAGAAAAAUAGAGGAUAGAUGGCAACAACAGAAUUGUCAUACGUGUAGUUCAAGCAAGGAUUUAGGUGCCAUGACACGGGGUCGUGCCAACCAUUUGCAAAUACAGUGCAUGCCAUGUCCUGCAGAUGUCAUUGCCAAAAUACCAUGUGUGCUGAAACACUUUGGCAAGAAAUAUAUAUUUCUUUUCGCAUCAGUAUAUUUUAAUUGCUCUUAAUAUAUUUGUUUUAUUAAUCUAUUGUACUCUAUUAAACUAAUUACUCGAUAAUUUCGAAAAAAGAAGGUUUUCAGUCUUGCCAUCAGUAUGUGUGUUGUAUUAUGCUGAAACCUUGUUAGCACAGAGCGGCACAAUGGGCGCUUAAAUCCUUGAGUUCAAAGUUCCAGUAUUGUAGGGAAACAAAACAUAUAGACAUGACAUACUGGAAAAGAGGGAUAUAACUUGAUUCUAUGAGUAUUACAUAUAAAAUAUUUUAAUUUUGGUGGGGCGGGGUUUGGGGGGAACCUGUGACUUUGCUACAUCAGCAGCUUCAGCUCGCACUUUUAGUUCUCGCAUUUCACGGUAAUCAUCUUCCACCUUCUCGAUGCGAUUUAGAGCUGCAUAAAAUAUAUGCCCAACAAGCAAAACAAUCACAGCAACUCCAAUCGAUGUUGUAAUUGCUGUCCAUGGCAACGGAGGCUCAUUUUUAAAUCUGAAAUAAAAAAAAAACAACAGAAAAACAACAUCAAAGUAGGGAAAUAAAGCUCCCCAAGACAGCAAUUUUGGAGGUUAAUAUAGGCUGCAUGUGAGAUCAGCUACCUGCAAUGCAUUUCAUGUUUACGCAAUGGAUCCCCAAAAUCCACAUGGCUAAUAUGGAACCCACUUGACUUAGAGACAUCAGGGCCAUACAUUUUAAUAGGGGAAGACGAAUUAGUGGUGUCAUAUAAGUUAACAACAAUUGUUUGCUUGCUAGCAAGCUGCUGCAGAAGUUUAUCCACCAAAGAUGGGACAUCAAAUGAUGCACCAAGAUAUCUGCAGUAUAAAUAAAUCAGGAAAGAAAGGAAAAAACCUAAGGGUCUCUUUUGAAAACAAAAAGAAAAAUAUGCAUGUUGUAGCGUAGUCACAGAAAGUUACCCUACUGUAGCUUCAAUGCGUUCUUGGGGAAUAGCAUUUGGAGGAAGGUCAGAGUUGUAUACUGCAAAAGUCAGCACUACUCCAAGGUGAUUGGAUUUCAAAAGCUUAAAGGGAGAGGUAAGGACCCCCUUUCCGGUUGACCUAGCUCGUAAAAUGUUAUCAUGGUCUUCCUAAGUACAAAGUCAGAAAAGUUGUUAGAUUCUAAAUGCAAAAUUAAAAGAGGCAUAUAAUAUGCAUCGAACCAUUAAAUUACUAGGGAAUCCUCAAUUCUUGCCACUUCAUAUUUUCAUGUCGCACCAAGUGCAGAAAUAUUUAGAUUCCAGGUCAUCACUUUUUGGAAAUUUAAAGAAUCCUGUGAACCGAACAAACCCCUAAAGAAUGUCUUAUUUCUAUAGAAGGUGUGGAUAACAACCCAAUCCUAAUGAUAUUUAAUACAAAGAAGCAUACGGUGAAAGGUUCAAAAAUAGUACAUGCAUGCUAUUUAAAUCUCACCAUCAAAUUGCAGAAAUACAGUUUUCUGGGAUAAUACAACAGGCAUAUAAUCAUAUAAGAAAUAAGAAUGGCUUGAUAUAUGAACUCACCUUGCCAGACAUCAUAUCUAUGGACACGAUGUGAGAUACAGUUUCUUGGGAGAAUAUAACUGGUGCAUAUUCAUCUUGGAUGGGUGAGGGGUUGAGCUUUUCGGGAUUAUAAUCAUCUUGAACAGGGGAAUGAUCCUCGGUCUCCAUUUUCUUUAUUUUCCAUCCGUGCUGCUGCUCAAACAGCUCUCGCUGCGAGUGCAAUACCUUUAAUGCAUAGGCAACACCACUUGUUAACGGCCUUUCAAAUGCUGUCCUUGCCGUGUAUUCCGCAAAGGUUUUCUGCCAGAACAGUUAUAAUAAGAUCAUGCUAUCUGGCUAGUAAGUAAGACCUACUCCUUACUCAGGUCAAAUUUUUCUUGAACUCAAAUUUUUGAUAUUUUAUAAAAUGAUCGAUAAAUUUUAAAUGACAAAUCAGAAUUUGUUAGAUCCCAAGUGUCUAAGAGCUUUAUUUAAGAUAUGAAAAUAUUUGCCAUAACUUAACAAACUUACGAGGAAAUAGUAUGCUGAUAUAAUAAUAUUUCAACCACUAUCAGAAUUUUUAUGAUUAUAUUUAUCUGAUUUCACCCUGCUAUUUUCUGGUUUGGGUAACUUAUGUCUAACAGAAUAAAAGAGUAAUAAAUAUACAGAAAAGAGAUAGAUCUUCCAGACAUGAGUUAAUUGGAGCAAACAUUAUCUCAUAAAUCCCAUAUCACGAUAAACUGAGGGCACCAAAUACAUAGCCAAACUUAAGAAACCAAGGCAUGUGAGGGCUAUCUUCAAUCGACAAGCUAUAUUGAUAUAUCAACAAGACAAAAAAUGCAUAGAUAGAGUACUUUACCUGAUCGAUGGCAGAAGGAUUCUUCCCAUGGUGAAAAGUUGAGAUCAGGAUGGCCAUAGCAUGCACAUGGUUCAUGCUCACAUUAAACUGAUCCUGAAGCAUCCGAGCUCUCUCGUCGCACAUGUUCGCAAGAGUUUCCGUUCUCCUCUCAAUAAUAUUCGCAUUCAUGCUCACAAAUAUCCAUACUGACACCAAGACCCCAAGAAAAACACCCAUAUAAAGGAUUUUUUUCAUCCACUUUCCACCACUCUUCGAGUUCUGCAAUUGCAGAUGCUUCUGCUGAUGAUUUUGUUUAUAUGAGGACUUCGAUAACUCGCCAAGUCCAAAAAGCACAAGUAGCCCCAGUAGAAUCCACCAUAGUAUUUUUGACAGAAGCUUCUGAUGCUCUUUCGCUGUGUUUAUUAACUUCUUAGCCUGCAAGAUAUUUACAUAAUCCUACAUAAAAAUGAUGAAUGGUACUUUAUAGCCAGGAAACCAGAAUUCAUCAUCCCAACAUCUUUUCUGUUUCUGCUAUAAUUCCACAGAAAUGUGAAUGAGCCACUGCUCUAUUUAUGCAGAUAGAAAACACUAAGUCUAACAUUUGUUUGAUAAUGAGACUAGCAUAUCAUGAUUCUAAACAUAUUUCUGACACCAUAUAUAACAGUAAUCAUCACAAUUAAGUCAAUAAAAGUUGUACGUCCUUCACAUUUGUAACACUAACAUGAAUACACAAACAACCCACUUGCUCCGUGAUUAGAAUGAUCACCAGUAGCGCCUUCUCUGAGAAUAGAAUAUGCAUCAAUUACAAUUAAGCGAUAUGCUUAGGGGUGGUUAAAUGAUAAUGAAGGAAGAAUCAAUCACAGCAAGUCUCAACUGGGAAUCUAUUUGACCAUUUGAUGAAUUAAUUCAUCUACUAUAAUAUCAUCCACUUUCGGUUCCUGCAAAUAAAACGAAACCUCCAAGGUGUCUCUAGCUGUUGAAAAAAAAUCCAAGUAAAGGAGAAUGAUGAAGCCAUGAAGGUGAUUGCACUAAGGAGUCCUCCCAAGAGCCUUAUCAAAGUUGAUUCACUUUGAUCUGAAAAGGCUUCAGUGUUGAUGAGCAUAGUCAGUUCUGCUACCGAGAGGAAUUGGUUGAAGUCAACAUCUAGUCUAACUUAUGUUAAAAGGAGGACCCUUUUGGCAUCAGGAAUUGGAUUAGAUAGAAUAAGAUAAGAUGGCAAUAUCAGGGGAGAUGGGGGUUUAGCAACUUGGAGAAGUUGAGGAUGACAACAAGAUUUUUUUUUUUAUACCAAUCACAACCUCUCGGGGAUUUGAUAAUCCCACCCUGGUAGGAUUAUUUGACUUGACCAAAUUCCUCUCUUUAGUCCUUAUGACCUACAGCUCCAAAAUUGCUGAAUUGCCCAACACCACUCUCUCUUCUUGUUCUAUCCAACCCAAUCCUAGGUGCCCGACGACCCCUAGGGUUUUGCAAAUGCACAUCGUAGUGCUCACAGGAGUUCCACAAUCUCGUUAGCGAACAAGAUCUUGAAGUUAAGGUGAUGGACCAGAUGAGGCAUCCACUGCCCCACCUAAGAAAGUUUUAUGCAAAUUAUUUGUAAGAGAUGAAAUGCAUAGAGAGUUAAAGUGCAGCAGAAAUCAAGACAAAUAGUAGUUAAAAAACCAUGAAAAAGAAUAAUAAGUGAACUCAGACAGUAAUUUUAGUAAUGAUUGUGGCAUUGGCCUCAAAAGCUUCCCAUCUAAGACACAGUAAUCAUGUUAAGUCACCAAAUGCUGAAGCAUAACAGCAUACUGAUGAAAAUAUCCUUUUGACAAUUUGAACAUGUUCGGAAGGAGAAAAAUGCACUGACCUUUAGUAGUGUUAUAUCAUUUUGUACAGGAGAAGAAACAAAAUUUUGCUGAGAGGUAUCUAUCAUGUAUUCAUUCUUUGGUAGUGAAGGCACAGGAUUAACCAAAAUGUGCUCGUUUUGAACAGCGCAAUGACCUACACGAACUAUUUCAUCCCUCACACAAUCUUGUUGACCUCGUCGCCGCUUUCCCUCAAAGCAAAUUGCUUCUCGAAUACAAGAGAGGCUACCACCUUCUGCUCUGUAGGUGUCAUGUGAAGCCCGAGACUUCUCCAUGCAUUGAGCAAAUGUUCUCUGCAUUUUAGAAGGAAAUACUGGAGUUUGAACCAGCUAAAAGGAAACUAAAUCUGUUUAGAAAUAUGUAAAUUCUACAAAAACCAUCAUGCCUAAUUACAUCUUAUAUUUAAAAGGAGAAAUUGUAAGCUAGUAAAUAUUACAUCUCUCAAGCCAAUUUAUAAUGCAAAAUUGGGAGGCCAUUAUCAAUGAAGAAUGUCAAUGAAGUUCAAAAACGUGAUGCCCCAGAGAGAAAUAUCAGACAUUUUCAACAGAUAUAUUCCAGUUAAGAAUGUGCAAAAUAAGUUCCAAUCAAUCCAUAUGAUUGACUAAUGACCAAAUAUAGCAUGAAAAAUAAGCUGGACGGAUUUAAACACUUAAAAAUUUAGAAAGCAAGGCAUCGAACCUAGCUACAGGACUACCUAAAUCUCCAUAUCAUUGUAUGAAAAUGGACAGAUCAUUACUGACAUCACCUACAAGAUCCUCCUAGGCCACUGGAUUGUUGAUGGACUGCAAAUUGAGGGAAGGGAAGAGCAUUGAGAGCCACUGAAAGGUUAGGAGUUAAAAAGAAAUCACUAGUUUAAGGCUUCAAAAUUUGAGCGGUUGGAAGAGGCGAUCAACUGGUUAGGUACGAUCAAGUUUUGUUUCUCCGUGAUGCAUGAACUUGGCUCACAUAGUUAUGUAAGUUUCAUGAAAGUUGAACAAGGACAGGACUCCACAAAGUAUGGUGACAUCUGGCCCAAUAGGGCAAAGACAAGUUUAAAAUUCCAUUGUAACAAGGAUAGACUUACGUUUAUCGUUACUUUUUUCCAACUUUUGAUGUAUUCAUCAAACUUCAAAGUUCAUACCUAAUUCUAAACAUAAAAAUGAAAGAAAAAUUUUAUUCCAAAUCUGAUUUGACUCGACCACUAAUUAAAAUAUACCUAGCCUUCUAUUACUUGUAUCACUUAUGUGCCCAUGAUGAUAUCUAUUUUCAAGUAUCAUGAUCUCCUACAGUCUUGUCGACACAUCAGGUGGUACAGUGAGUCAAUACAUAAACUUACUUCAUUUCUCUAAGUACCACCCUGUACAUGGACCAACCAGACCAGGGGAUCAUAUAAACUAUGAACCUCACCAUCAUUUUACACCACAUUGUAAUUGUGUAUGAAGAAUUCUUCAGUUAGUUUAAAGCUAUUCCAAUUAAGACUACUGUAGAGAACUAGCUCUUACAAGUCUAGAAAGACUCUAUACUAGCAAAGCUAGAAGAAAACAUCUACUGAUAAUCCAAAAUGCAUUUCAACGUUGAAAAUGACGGGAAAAAACACGGCAUGAAAAGGGUGCAUACCCAGUUAUUCCAUUCAUUCCAUCAUGUUUUUUCAACCAACUAACAUGUUUUGUAGAAAAGGGUUAAAAAAAUGGUCCUAAUUCAACGAUUUGACGGUUAGCCAAGAGUCUUCUGACUUGAUGCAUAGCGUAUCAUGUUAUUAGUAAUUUGGUCUUAAGUUGUCCACAUUUCACACACUUAUUAGUAUCUAUUUUAUAACAAGCUUAAUAACAAAUUUUAAGUUUUAAGUUUUUUUUAUUACAUUACUCAACUUCUAAGUUUAAGCAUUUGAACAAAUUCUUGUGACCCCCAGAAUAUAACUAGCGGACUCACUUGUCGAACCGAUGACUCAGAAAAACCAUCUUUUCGCCAAUUCAAUUUUCGGUUCAGUUCUUGAUACUACAAAUUUAUGCGUGUCAAGAAAGAAAAAGAAAAACUCUCCAGCUCCACUGAGAACCCUCGAACCCCGACAAUCUAAGACAAUUACCUCAUCAAAACCUGACAUAGACCCACAUGAUCUUCCACAUAACCAAAAAAGGAUGAUAGCUCAAAUCAUAUUAGUUGAAAAAGGAGAAAAUUACCAUGUACAUAAACAAACUAUGUCAUACAAAAUCAAGAAGGACAAAUAUGGUACUUUUGUAACUAGCUAACAAUAGAACACACCAGAAGAAUCUCAAUACCUCCGAGGAUGAUAACAGCAAGACCAAGGCCUGGAGCUGGUUCUUGCUCAGGUUGGACUGCUCUACCAGCACCUGAGCUCUCUCUUCCCACAAAUCCCUCCCCCUACAUCCAUAACUCCCCAAACCCCAGAAAACCCCUAUUGACCCAACAAAACCACUCAAAACACACAAAACCAGGAACCUAGCCUUCAACCUCCUGCAGCCCUCACAUUCACCACCAUUAGAGGAUCCCAAGCCCCUAUUUUGACCACCCAUUCCAGAUGAAAACAAGAUGAUGGCCAAAGAACCACAAGAGUGGCUCAGCAGCUGCAGGAAGAGAUCUUGAGAGAAGAAACCCAGCUAGCCUUUCCCCCCCAGUCUGGAUUCAAAACUGUGCCCACCAACCCUUCAAAAGAUAACCAAAAACCCCUUCCAUUCCCCCCCUCUUUUCACUGCCACCAGCCCAAGAACCAAUCAACACCACACCUUUUGGAGAAGCCACUUGAGGAGAAAGCAGAGAGUGCAGCAGGCAUCUCAUCAGAAAGAAGGGGGGGAGGGCUGCAGCAGACCCUCCUCCUCCUCCACCUCCACCUCCUCCUCCUCCCUAUUCUUCAACCUUUUGUGUGAGCCCUUUCUUUGCUGACCCUUUUGAUCUCUUUCCUCUUCCUUAUCUUCAUUGCCCCCUAUAGAAGGUUAGGUUUAUGCAAUUUUUUUUUUAAAAAAAAAAAACCCUCCCAACCAUCACAGAUAACUCCAAUCUUGGAGAGAGAGAGAGAGAGAGAGAGAGAGAAAAAGAAGAAAAACAAAAUAAACAAAUGAAAAAGGAACCCAAGAGAGACCCAGCUGGUCUUUUGCUCAAUCUGGGCUGGAAUCCCUGAUCAAUGAGGAAAGCAAAAAAGAAAACUCUCUAUAUAUGUAAGUAUAAUAAUAAUGUAGGCAUUAUAAUAAUACUAUAUGCAAGGCCAAAUAAAGCGCAACUAAUCUCUCUCUUAUCUCUUUUUAUCUCCUCUUGUUCUCAUCUCUUAUUGGGUGUUUAGCCACAUCAUUAUCUCAUCAUCUGGUAGGGACAUGUUUUGAGGGACACCACUGAUAAAAGAAAGAAAGCUUAAAAUGAAUAAAUAAAAGCAAGGGAGGUCUUGACAAGAACAACACAAUUUCCAGCCCUCUCUUCUUUCCUUCUUUCUUUCUUUCUUUCUAAAAGAGAGAAGUGAGAACAGGAUAAAUAGACUGCUGCAAAGAAGAGAAACUAGAUAUAAAUAAAGGGGAUAGAAAUUAAGAUGCCACAUUUUUUUUUUUUUUUACAAAUUUUUUUUUGCCAAUAACAACUUUUUUUUUUUUGUUGGGUUUUAUAUACACAGGUGGUUUUUUGCUUUGCGGGGAUGAAAGCGACACCACAACUUGUGCCACACUGAGAGAGAUGUGGGUUGUUUAAUAAUUGAAAUUAUAGUGUUUAGGCUUAAUGUGAGCAGAGGGGUUAGUAGAGAGAGAGAGAGAGAGAGAGAGAGAGAGAGGAGACAACAGGUUUUUUUUUUAUAUUUAGCUCCCUCAAAAAAAAAAUUUAUUAAUAAUUUUUAUAAAUUUAUAUUUUUAUAUAUAUGGUUUUUUUUUUACCAUGCGAGUAUCUUAUUGAUAUUUUUAAUUUGAACGCGAUAACUGAAUCACUAUAUUUAUAUCCAUAUUCUAAACCCUCCUUUUUAACCUAGAGGUGAUAAAAAAUGUAAAAAUAAAUAUGAUAAUUCAAUCACCGUAUUUAAUUAAAUUUAAAAAUAUCAUCUAAAUGCUAGUGUGGUAAAAAAAAAUUAUUUAUAAGAUCAUUUGUGAAAAAAAAAAAAAAAAAUUAAGAAAGAUAAAUACAAAAUAAAAGCCCACGGACAACACAGUCCUCUCUCUGUCUCUCUCUAUGGUUUACUAUACGGAGGACAGCAGGAGAGCAGCAGCAGAUGCAAUAAAGAUAAAAAUGUGUGGAGAAGCCCCUCACCUACGUGCAGUUUGAAAUGGGCCCUCCAACUCUUUUCUUUAAUUUUUUUUGUUUGGUUUUUUCUAAGAAAUGCCUUUGGUUACUGAUAAUUUUGUCUUUGUAUUACGUGGACACUUUUAUUUUUUUUUGUAUAUGUGGACCAACCAACGGCCACCACUGCAGAAACCCCAAAAAUAUUGGAAGACGGCAUGUGGGGACAUGUGUACCCAAACACCCCAACUAGGGGUGUAAACGAGCCGCACACGGUGUGAGCUCGGUCGGCUCGUGUUCGACACAAGUUGGCUCGUUAAAGUAUCGAGCCGAAAAAUUCAGCUCGUGUUCGGCCCGUUUAUUAACGAGCCGAACACGAGCCGUCAAUGAGCUGGUCAACAAACAAUAAAAUAAAAAAAUAUUAAAUAAUAUAAAAAAUAAAUUUAUAAAAUCUUACCCAUUAGACUUUGAUCUAAUAGUUGAAACUUUAUAUAUAAAUGAGUUUUUUUAUAAUUAAGCUCGCAUUUAUAUUUUUAUUUUGCUAAAAUUAAAAUAAUAAAUAUAUAAUUAUAUAUAAGUAUUUAUAUAUAUAAAAAUAUAAUUAAAUAAUUAUAUAAAUAUAAAAUAUAUGUAUUCGAGUAUUAUCGAGCCGAACACGAGCAAGCUGGCCCUAGCUCUGUGUUGGCUCGUGUUAUUAAACGAACUGAAAAAUCAGGCUCGUGUUCGGCGUUUAUAAACGAGCAUCGAUCUCGAGCUCAUUUCGAGCCGAACACGAACUGGCUCACAAACAGCAAGCUGGAUUGCCACCCCUACCCCCAACACAGCCGGCUUGUGUUCUUUUGUUUAUUAAUAACCUAACUGAACACUAGCUGACUGGUUGAAAUAUGGACCGUUUAGUUGCAUGUAGUUGUAACUGUACUAUAAUUAUAAUUGUAUAUAAAUACAAAUUCGGUGUUUAAUUUGAUGUAUUUAACUCCAACUGCUACAGAACUGCAGGCGGAGGCAGAACUGCAGCAGUUCGUACUACGCCCAAAUUGGCCGCAGUUUCAACUACAGCAGUUGAAGAGAGUGACUUUAAAUAAAAGAUAUGCUUACCUCUUCAAUUAUUUUUUAAAUAAAUUUUUUUUUAUAUUAGAGGUAAUCUUACCAUCAUAUAUAUAAAAUAAUAAAAUUUUAAAAAUUAUUUUUUAACUGUAUACAACCAAACAAAUUAUUUAUACUUGCAGCGCUUUCUACUAUAUCCAACCAAAAAGGAUGCAUGUAGUUGUAACUGCUGCAUUUUCAACUGCAUGCAUCUCUAACUAUACUGUAUUUAUAAUUAUAUCUAGCCAAACGGUCCGUAAGAUGAAAAAAUUCAUCUACCAACUUGUUUAUUAACGAGCCAAACACGAAUCAACUCCUAAACAAUAAUUUGGAUUUUCAGCUCUACUAUUGGAUAAAAAAUUGAGAAAAAAACUAAAAAAUUAGAAUCUUAAUAUAAUAAUUAAAAUUCAUAAAAUAUAGAUCUCUCUGUAUUUGUAUUGGCCCAAAAUUCAAAUAGUGCUCGGCUCGUUUAUAAAACUAGUGAUCGAUUUCGAGCUCAUAUUCGAGCUAUAUCAAGCUGAACACAAGUGAGCUGAUCUCAGCUAGCUCAUGUUCAACUCGGUAAGAUUUCGAACUAAAAGAUUUAGCUCGUGUUCAGCUCAUUUAUUUAAACGAGUGAUCGAUCGCGACCUCAUUUGCGCCAAAUAUAAGCUAGCUCGCGAACAACGAGCUCGUCUACCAGCCCUAGAAACAUGAAAUUGACUCUAGAAACAUGAAAUUGAGCAUUUCUUUCUAACUAGGAAUGUUGAGUAUGGAUAUUCGAAAUUUUAUUUGAACUUAAGUCCGAACAGGGCAUGUUUAUCCAACACUAAAUGAAUAUGCUUUUCAAUACGGAUAUGCAAAUGAAAAUCCGACAAAUUUGAAUUUGGGUAGGGAUUUUAUGUGCACCCUAUCUUGACCUAAACCCGAAUUGAUUUCACUCUAUAUUAUAUAUGCGAAUGUUUGGUGUUGUUAUAUUUUAAAAUUUUAAAUUUUAAUAUAGUUUGCUUUCUAAAAUAUGGUAAAGAGAAAUAAUUAUUUGGAAUUCGGGAUUCUAGGUUUGAUUUUCAGGUUUGAAUUAUUUAAAAUCCAUCCCGAAUCCCAUACAUUGACGCAUCUAUUUUUAACAUGUAAAUUACACCACUGGUCUCUAAAUUUUUCAGCCAAGUUUCCUUUUGGUUCUUAGACUUUGAGCUUCAACAUUUAAGGAUCUGAACUAUUGAAAAUAUUUUCUUUAGCCCUUAUCCUUAUUUAUUAUAUAAAAAACUUGUUGCUUGCUCCUCUGCAUCUCUAUAUUAAAAUAUUUAUUGUUUAAUAUAUUGAUACCCCGACUAAUUGGUUAAAAGCUAAGAAGGGGCUAAGACAAGGGGACCCUCUCUCCCUUUACCUCUUUUUACUUGUUGCAAACAGCCUGGCCAGGAUAACGGAGGCUGCGAGAGGAAAUAACCUUUUACGCGGCAUUGGACCAUCCGACGACUGCCAGACAGUACUCAUUCAAUACGCCGACGACACAAUAUUUUUCUGCGAGGCAAGGAAACGCUGUAUGCGGAACCUGCAAUUCGUUUGGAAAAUCUUUGCCUGGGCCUUUGGCCUUAAAAUCAACUUGGAUAAAUCAGAAUUCUACUACAUCGGGUCCAACUCGCGCAAAGCUGAGAGACUAGCAAACAUCACUGGCUGCAAAGGCGGAAAGCUACCCUUCCGCUAUCUAGGGAUGCCACUACACAACAAGCAACUUCGCAAGGAGGACUGGGCCUGGGUAAUUAAUCGCAUAGAGGCAAGAAUAGAAGGAUGGAAAGCCAAAUUACUCUCCCUUGGGGGACGGCUUACGCUCGUCAACUCGGUCCUCUCUAACACACCACUAUUCUUCUUUUCAAUCUUCAAAGCGCCACAGUGGGUACUACAUCGAAUUGAAGCCGUAAGACGAGCAUCCUUCUAGAAAGGGUUCUCCAAAAUCGCCAGGGGCGCCUGUCUUAUCAACUGAAAAGCCAUCUGCAAAAGCAAGAGAGAGGACGGAUUAGGCAUCAAGGAUAUGGAAUCCAUGAACACGGCCUUCUUGACUAAAUAGUGGUGGCGCUUUUUCAACGAGCCAAACUUGCACUGGUGCAAACUGAUUAGAUCUCUCUACUACGCCAGACGAAGGCCCCUACAUGAGAGUAGAGUUUACUCCCCUUACUCGCAGUGGUGGAAAGGAGUGGUACAAUGCCGCGGAAUUUUUAUGUGCGGCGUAACCUACGACCUAGGUGAUGGCCAGAAUAUCAGGAUGUGGUCCGAUAUCUGGAUCGGAGAAACCCCCCUUCGGAUCCUCUUCCCGGAUAUCUAUACGGCUAUCAUGAACAAGGAGGCCAGAAUAUCUCAGUGCUGAAACGCAAACGGAUGGAGAUGGCGAUUCAUCUGUCGUGGGUUCCCGACAAGCAAUUCUACUGAUCGACGCACACGACUAACGAUGCUUAAAGACUUGCUUCUACACCGCUCCCCUUGUGACGGACCAGACUCGUGUAAAUGGAGGUGGACAGCCAAUCAAAUAUUUUCCGUCAAAUCUCUCUACCAGUUUCUUACUUAUGCGGGACAGCGAACCCCGCUGAGCAAACAUAUUUGGUGUUUAAAAACUCCGCUUAAAAUCAGAGUCUUCAUUUGGCUAUUACUUCGGAAGAGACUUCUCACUGCUAACCGACUGCUCCAAAGAGGCAUACCUGUUGACCAACAAUGCGUUUUCUGCGCUGUAGGAACGGAGAGCUGCGAUCACCUCUUCUGUAACUGUGUAUACGUCUGAUACCUAUUUCUCAACGUGGAUGGACUGGAUAUACCAAGCGACGCCCCUGGUGAUGUUCAUACCCUUUGGACCGAAUUAGCUGCCUGCCCAGUCAAAUCGUCGUGAAUGCGAGGACUAACCCUUCUGGCUGCGAUCUAGUUGGUGGUAUGGAGGGAUAGAAACAACUCCGUUUUUCAGACUACUUCGCCUGAUGUGACCCGAUCACUGGAACGAGUUAACCUUCUUACGACCAAUUGGACCGUGCUGACCUGAAACCACACUAGAUUCACUCUUCUCCCUUCUCAUCUUUCUUUCUCCUUCUUCGCUCCUUUUGGCCUUUGCCUGUUAUUUUUGCAUUUUUCGAAGGCCCAAGCUGCUUCCAUCUCUAUACGCUCAGUUCAUUUUACUUAAUGAAUGAAGCAAGUAGUUUGCUACCUAUUUCUCAAAAAUAUAUAUAUAUUUAUUGUUCCUUAAUCAUUCAUCUCAAAUUUAGUCCAAUCAGUAGUUAUUAACUAAUUAAUAAUUAACAAAAUCCUAAGUUUCUACCAUGCUGGAAUGGCAUUUAGAUUAGUUAAACUUAACAAAAUCACAACUGAACGUAAUAAAUACCUAAUUAUUGGAUAAACACAAUAUAAAUUAAAAGAAUCAAAAGCUGAGAGGAGUCAAUGAAUCAAAAAUGGUUGAAGCAUCUAUUUCAAAAUAACCAUGAAUUUGAGGGGUUCCCUGUAUAUUUUAACUUGCAGAGUCACUAGAGCUACUCUGUUACACCUCACAUGCAGCUCAUGUGUGUAGCCACCUGCAUAAAUACAGGGCCCUAUUCUGAUCUGAUAAAGCCUUAAAAUGUGGCAGCUCUUUAUAUAUAUAUAUAUAUAUGUAGAGAGAGAGAGAAAGUUCGAUUACAGCGAUCGUGUGAGUAAGAUCGCUUUUAUACUCAUAAGUUAUUUUUGAUAAUAGAACUGCUGAAUCGACGAUUCAUACCCUUAAAAAUUAUUUAAGACAUUUAAAAUUUUUAAAAAUUAAAUUUUAUAAUUUUUUGACAUUAUUUAUUUUAUCAAAAUUGAUAGUUUUUAAUGACCGAUAUGAGAUACUUACCAGUUUAACGAUGUAAAAUAAUCAGACUCGAUUGAAUUUUUGAUAGAAAACUCUAUUCACGAUCUAGAUAAAGAUCAAUAACUCCGAUCUUAAAUUGAAGAAUCCGAUCAUCCAUUUUUAGAACGUCAUUCGAUUUUGACCAUUCAUUUUAUACCCGCUUAAUGGAUUUUAUUAUGAUUAUGAAAAGUUACGAAAUUUAUUUUUUAGAAGUUUCAAAUACUCUAAAUCAUAUUUAACAGAGUGGGUCGUCGAUUCAAAAGCUCUACCAUCAAAAAUAAUUUAUGAGUAUGAAAAACUCUAUAUUCAUAAGAGUACAGUGCCCAACUCUCUCUCUCUCUCUCUCUCUCUCUCUCUCUCUAUAUACUAUAUAUAAAAGCACGUAUUUCAAAUUUUGGUCUGUCGACAGACCCAUUUUCUGGCGGGAAAAAAAAUUAAUUCCCCUAUUCAUUACAUAAAAUAAAUAACAGAAUUAAACAAAACUUUUAACUCCUCUUUGUUUCUACAACAAAAAAAAAAUUUAUGCUUAUUCAAAUUUUUUGCCUACCGGAGAAUAUCNAUCUCAGUGCUGAAAUGCAAACGGAUGGAGAUGGCGAUUCAUCUGUCGUGGGUUCCCGACAAGCAAUUCUACUGAUCGACGCACACGACUAACGAUGCUUAAAGACUUGCUUCUACACCGCUCCCCUUGUGACGGACCAGACUCGUGUAAAUGGAGGUGGACAGCCAAUCAAAUAUUUUCCGUCAAAUCUCUCUACCAGUUUCUUACUUAUGCGGGACAGCGAACCCCGCUGAGCAGGCAUAUUUGGUGUUUAAAAACUCCGCUUAAAAUCAGAGUCUUCAUUUGGCUAUUACUUCGGAAGAGACUUCUCACUGCUAACCGACUGCUCCAAAGAGGCAUACCUGUUGACCAACAAUGCGUCUUCUGCGCUGUAGGAACGGAGAGCUGCGAUCACCUCUUCUGUAACUGUGUAUACGUCUGAUACCUAUUUCUCAACGUGGAUGGACUGGAUAUACCUAGCGACGCCCCUGGUGAUGUUCAUACCCUUUGGACCGAAUUAGCUGCCUGCCCAGUCGAAUCGUCGUGAAUGCGAGGACUAACCCUUCUGGCUGUGAUCUAGUGGGUGGUAUGGAGGGAUAGAAACAACUCCGUUUUUCAGACUACUUCGCUUGAUGUGACCCGAUCACUGGAACGAGUUAACCUUCUUACGACCAAUUGGACCGUGCUGACCUGAAACCACACUAGAUUCACUCUUCUCCCUUCUCAUCUUUCUUUCUCCUUCUUCGCUCCUUUUGGCCUUUGCGUUAUUUUUGCAUUUUUCGGAGGCCCAAGCUGCUUCCAUCUUUAUACGCUCAGUUCAGUUUACUUAAUGAAUGAAACAGGUAGUUUGCUACCUAUUUCUCAAAAAAAUAUAUAUAUUUAUUGUUCCUUAUAUAUUAAUCAUUCAUCUCAAAUUUAGUCCAAUCAGUAGUUAUUAACUAAUUAAUAAUUAACAAAAUCCUAAGUUUCUACCAUGCUGGAAUGGCAUUUAGAUUAGUUAAACUUAACAAAAUCACAACUGAAUGUAAUAAAUACCUAAUUAUUGGAUAAACACAAUAUAAAUUAAAAGAAUCAAAAGCUGAUAGGAGUCAAUGAAUCAAAAAUGGUUGAAGCAUCUAUUUCAAAAUAACCAUGAAUUUGAGGGGUUCCCUGUAUAUUUUAACUUGCAGAGUCACUAGAGCUACUCUGUUACACCUCACAUGCAGCUCAUGUAUGUAGCCACCUGCAUAAAUACAGAGCCCAUUCUAAUCUGAUAAAGCCUUAAAAUGUGGCAGCUCUUUAUAUAUAGAGAGAGAGAGAGAGAAAGUUCGAUUACAGCGAUCUUGUGAGUAAGAUCGCUUUUAUACUCAUAAGUCAUUUUUGAUAAUAGAACUUCUGAAUCAACAAUUCAUAUCCUUAAACAUUAUUUAAGACAUUUAAAAUUUCUAAAAAUUAAAUUUUAUAAUUUUUUGACAUCAUUUAUUUUAUCAAAAUUGAUAGUUUUUAAUGAUCGAUAUGAGAUACUUACCAGUUUAACGAUAUAAAAUAAUUAGACUCGAUUGAAUUUUUGAUAGAAAAUUCUAUUCACGAUCUAGAUAAAGAUCAAUAACUCCGAUCUUAAAUUGAAGAAUCCGAUCAUCCAUUUCUAGAACGUCAUUCGAUUUUGACCAUUCAUUUUAUACUCGCUUAAUGGACUUUAUUAUGAUUUUGAAAAGUUACGAAAUUUAAUUUUUAAAAGUUUUAAAUACUCUAAAUCAUAUUUAACAGAGUGGGUCGUCGAUUCAGAAGCUCUACCAUCGAAAAUAACUUAUGAGUAUGAAAAACUCUAUACUUAUAAGAGUACAGUGCCCAACUCUCUCUCUCUCUCUCUCUCUCUCUCUCUCUCUCUCUCUCUCUAUCUAUACUAUAUAUAAAAGCACGUAUUUCAAAUUUCGGUAUGUCGACAGACCCAUUUUUUUGGCGGGAAAAAAAAUUAAUUUCCCUAUUCAUUACCUAAAAUAAAUAACAGAAUUAAACAAAACUUUUAAUUCGUCUUUGUUUCUACAACAGAAAAAAAUUUAUGUUUAUCCAAAUUUUUUGCCUACCGGAGAAUAUCUCCUUAUCUCUAUCUAUAAUAUAUAUAUAUAUAUAUAUAUAUAUAUAUAUAUAUAUAUAUAUAUAUAUAUAUAUAUAUAUAUAUAUAUAUAUAUAAAGAGAUACUACUCAUUUUAACUCAGAGUCUAAUUAANAUAUUUAAUGUAUAUCUAUAUCUACACUAUAUAUAAAUUUAUCAGAAAAAUAUUUAAUGUAUAUCUAUAUUUAAUGUAUAUCUAUAUCUACACUAUAUAUAAAUUUUAUAAAAUAAAAAAAAACUAUAUAAUUAUUGUUGACAAAAUAUGGUAGGUAUUUUCUAAUAGUAUAUAAUAAAUAAAUUUACUUUUUUAAAAAUUAUAAAUUUUUUAAUAAAUAUGAUGUACAAUUUCAUAUUAAUUUAAAAUAAUUAUUAAAUAAUUAAUUGUUACAUGUAUUUGUACGUACAUUCAACUAGUAUAUAUAUAUAUCUAUCUUCAUUAACUGUGGAAAACACCAAUUUUUGUGCUCUUAAAUAAAGCUAGUUGACUCUGAGAUGGACUAAAAGAGAGGCUAAGCUUAGCUAACAAAUUUAUUGUGGAUCCAAAAAAAGAUUUAGGUAUGGGAUAUUUUUGACAUUAGAAGUGGAUCUCAUCUUAGCAUAAAAAAAUUAUUAUACAUGGGGUUAUUCCAAAUCGAUCAAAUGAGCAUGUGCCCAUUGUUGAUUCAUUUACAUGCAUGAUCAGCCCCAUGCAUGGAGUUUGUACACUGCAUCUUGUCAUUUAUCCGUCUGGCUAGUACGUUUCACAUAUACUUCAUGUACCCACCAUUCAAUAACGAUCAAACUCGCUCAUCUUAAUUUUUAGAUUAUAAAUAAAAAUAUCACUUAUUGAAUGAUGCUUAGGUGAAGCAGAUGACAAAAUAUUCAGGUUCGUAGGAUCCCAUGCACGGACUACACAGAUCAGUACGAAGCAAAUUUUUUUUCACAGAAUUUGCCUCCAUUGAGGUACCAUAUUAGGCGCGCAUCCCAUUUCAUAUGGUACUAUCAAUUCAAUAAUUCAACAUGAAAUUAAAUAAAAAAGGUGUCCUAGAUUUAUUAGGAAGUGCUUUCAGCAUACUUGGGGAAAGCGAAAAGUUGAAUUUAACCCGCUCGAAAGCAAUUGAUUUUUAUGCGAAAUCGACUGAAGAAUAAUUGUUUGGAUAAACAUCGACGAGAAGUAAAACUUCUUAACAUGAGGACCUAAGUUUCAAAGAGCAAUUGUCACUACAACAAAAACGGUCUAUAGCGAUACUUUUAAAUGUCGGUAUAAGUCAAAAAAAGUGCUGCUGGCUAAAUUACCGACACUUUUGAAAAGUGUUACUAUAUGUGGGGUCGCUAGAUAUAUAGUGACAGUUAAAAAGUGUCGCUAUAACUUAAAAAGAGUGCUGCUAAUUUACUAACACUUAUUUAAGCAUUUAGCAACCACCGAAACUCUAUCUCGUUGGCUGCGGUGGUAGAGAAGGACGAGAGGGAAGGGCUCUUCGUCUAAAAUUUUAGUGGAUUGAGUGAGGGGGAGAAGGGGAGAUGAUAAUCGAUUUUUCUAAUUUUUUUCUUUUUUAUUUGUAAUCGGACCGAAUGGGCUGGGUGGGAUGGGUUGAGUAGAGUAACCUUUAAUUUUUUGUUGGAUUAGGCUUUAUAUUUAUGUGUUAGUAGAUUUUUUAAAAAAUUUAGGUAUAAAUAUGACACUUACACAAAAGUGUUCCAAACAUGUGUCCCUAUAACCUAAUUCUGUUGUAGUGUGUUGAAGGCUUAGUUUACGAUGUGCUGAACCUUCGAAAUCGUGGGUUUUUCUGUCCGAAGGUGCUUUGGAGCAACCUGGCAAGCUGGCAAGCGCAAGAGCAAUUGAAGUAUAAGAUAAAAUGCAGACACAUACAUGCUAAUGUGGUGCACCAUGUGCAUUCAAUAAUUUCUCAAAACUUAGCAUCUAAAUAAGUCUUUGGUUUGUAGCUUUAAUUAAAUAAUAUAUGAUAACACUUGAGUAGGUGACCAACAUUAGGUUUAUUAGACACAUUGAUUAAUGCAAUCAAUUUGCGGCUUUGCUAAAAUUAACAGAAGCCAACCUAAUGAGAGUCAAGUCAAAACCCAACAAGAUUACACGUUUGUGGAAUUUAUUAAGCAUAUUAUGGUUGAACACCAAACCUUUAAUUAAAACUAUAUCACGUUGAACACAAUGGAGGAGGUGGAACCACCACUCAAUAGCAUGUAAUUAAUUAAUUAAUUAAACUACCAAAACAAAACCCCAUUUUGCUUUUUUUCUUUUUCUUUCCCCUUUUUUUUUUUUCUCUUCUCUUUAGAUUUGCCCUGAAUUCGAAGUUUUGGACCCUCCCUUCGAAAUCCUUUGGAGCAAAAUCAAACAUAAAAUUUUUGAACGUCUACAAUGGUAGCGAAGGGCUUGAGCAGAUACCAUUAUUCAGUAUUCCUGUAGAUUAGUUAUGAAAAUCAUUUGGUCUACUUUGGGAACUAGAAUUUUUGGAGAGAGGCUUUUUUUUUUUUUAAAUGCACUUUAAUUAGAUGAUAAAAAAAGAUUUAAUCCAUAUUUGCUUCCACUUCCAAUUCUCUUUAUAGUGUUUGUAUCCAAGGGAGUAACAUUUUCUUCUUUUGUUUUUUGGCUUUUUAUUGUAACAUUUUUUUUAAAAAAAAAAUCUUGAUCAUUUAAAAACAAACCAUAUACUUUUAAAUAUGGAACUUACAUGCAUAUUAAUCCAUUUCAAUCUAAUAAUCCAACAUUUAAAACUUUUGAUCACAUGGCUUAUUGUAAUAGAAACAUAGCUAAGUGAAUCACCUGAUAUACUCUAACUAAUCCCAAAAAAUAGCAUAACAAUAUUCUAAAGUUAAAAAGUUGCUAAAUAUCUCAAAUUAAAUGAAUUAAAAGACUAGAUAACAAAAUCAACUGCAACUUCAAACUAAAAUAGGUUGUAGUUCAAGCAAACUCAAUACAUGUUUAAUUAGUACCAUAAUAAAAUAGUUUAACUUAAUAAAAAAAGUCUACAAAUUAUAGUAAUCAUGUAUUGGUUCACCAAAUGGAGACUCAACAACAAUUGAUUAAAUGCUCUACUUUUUGUCAAGCUAUUGUCAAAAGUGAUGUUUUAUAAACUAUCAGGAUGACACAAAGACAACUAAAGUGUGAUGUAGAUAGAAAAGGAAAUAUUUAUUAAAACUAAGAAGGCAACAAAUAAGGAAGUGUGGACAAAUAGCUAGUAAUGGGUUUUUAUAGUAGUUCCAAUAUUCAUGACCUUUAAGAAUAUUAUACAAUGCAAAGAUAUUUAUUUGGCUAUUUUUUAUAAAAUAAAUUGUCAAUUUAGUUGGUAGUUUUUUUAAUAAAAUAGAUUAUCAAGCUGGUUUAUCCCUCCUAAUCACAAUUCACCCCUCUUUCUUGUUCUCUACUCUUUUGUGUCUACUUGUUUUAUUGCUUUUUUGCUUUUUUAAUUUUAUUUUUUUCAAAGCAUUGCUAUGAAUAUUCUUAUGUAAUUCAUGGGUAAAUUAUAAUUAAUGGUUCUAGGUUGAACAAGGCUAUAAUUUUUUUCCUUUUUCUUUUACACAUCACAAUUGAGGAGACACUUUAAGUGCUUGUCAACUCAAAUAAUCCCUUAAACUAAGUCCACUUUGACAACUAAUGCUUGUUAAUUUUUAUCUUGUUAGCUAAGCAUGCAUCAACAUAAGCAAUGAUGACAACAUAUAUUGUAGGUUUAUCUUAAUAAAGAUUUUUUUUAAUUUUUUUUUGGCCUACAUUUUACAAAGAAGAGAUUUAUUCCCACAAGAGAAAAGGAGUCCCAUAAUUUUUUGGAGUCCAAGAAUGAGGAUAACUAUGGUGGCUAGGGUCAGGAUAAGUACAACUAAGAAUGUUAAUAUCAUAGAAUAUCUCAAGCUAACGUGCCUAUCCAAUUGAUUUCCUUGAACAUGACUAGUAAUUGCAUAAUAAGGAAUGAAAGAAAAAUUGAAUUGUCAAAAAGCUUAGGCCUUUGUUUAAUUUGUGGCUUUUUUUUAUUCUUUUUAGGGUCCAUUUGGUUCAAAGAUAACAAGCAUUGGAAUAAAAUUCUUUUUAUUUUUGGAAUAGCUUCCUUUUCUGGAAUAAUCAUGAACAAAAAUAAAAUUGUGUUUAGUUUGUAAUGCUGAUGUUCUCAGAAAUAAUUUAAAUUAUAUUUGAUUAAUUUUAUAGAAUAUUAGAGGAUACUGGAUAAAAGUAAUGGUUGAAUUUGAUAUAAAAUAUGAUUUAAUAAAAAUAAUUUAUUAUAAUAUUUAAAUAUAGUUUAGUAUUGUAACAAGAGAUUUGAGAAAUUUUCUGUAUAUUAUUCAUCUAAAUCCAUUCUAAUAUUUAAAUAUAGUUUAGUAUUGUAACAAGAGAUUUGAGAAAUUUUCUGUAUAUUAUUCAUCUAAAUCCAUUCUCUUAUAUAGAGAGAGGAAAAGCUUUACAUGGAAGUACAGGAUUAUAUCCUGUUAUACAAAGAAAUAAAUAAUACUAUCCUAAUAAGAAAGUAACAUACAUAGUAAUAUAUAUAACAUAAAUGGUAACAUAUAUUAUAUAUAUAUGGUAUGUAAUAUAUAUGGUAACAAGUAUAAUAUUUAAGUAUAAAUAAUAUGUAUUAAUAUAGUACAAUUAAUAAUUUUAUAAUAAAAAUAUUUAUUACAAUAUAUAAUAUGUCAUGUCUAUAUAAUUUACUUUAAUUCAAUUUAUAAUAUUAAUAAAGCUUGGAAUUAAAUCUUAGAAUAACACCAUUACUCCAAAAGGGUAGAAUAGUGAAUUUUUUUAUUAAUAGUCUUAAAAAAUACUAUAAUUAUAAAAGUAGACCUUAAAAAAAAUAUUUAUAAAAUUAGGUUUAUAUGGUAAAUGAUUUACCGCUUUUUAAAUGCGGUAAAUCAUUAACCAGUUUCUUCAAAGGAUUAAAAUUAUUUUUUGUGUUUAAUACUAUACAUCUUUUAAAGUUUGGAUAUAGGAAAUAUAUAAAUUAGGUUAAAAGCGGUGAGUCGUUCACUACUUUUGAUAAAAGCGGUGAAUGGAUUCACUACCUAUUUUUACAAAUAAAAAAUUUAAAAUGCCUAUUUUUAUAUUUAAAAUAUUUUGCAGGCUUAGUAGCCCAAAAUCUUCCUAGAAUAGUUCUUAGGAAACAUGCAAUUAUUAGAUUUUUUUGGCAAUAAGAACGAAAAAAAAUGAUAUUAAUUUUUUUAUUUUGAGAGAAAGAUACUAUGCUAUCCGCUUUUUUAUUUUAAAAAAAAAAACUUAUUUGAAAAUAUGAAACAGCUAAGCUUCGAACUUAUGAACCUCGGAUACCAACCAUCGAGCCCUCUGUUAUGGUAUUAAUUUUUUCUUUCGCUUUUUUAGGUUUUUGAGAGAGAUAUAGUUUAGCAUUUUGCCGGAUUGCAUUGCAAGCUCCCCAAAUAGCCAAUGAUGACAAUAAUAAUAAAUUUUUUUUAAUAAAAUUAUAAAAAAAAACAAUAUAAAAAAAGUCAUAAUAAUGCCGAGUUUAUGAGUUGUUAAUGUACGUUGAUAUAUUUACAAUAUAAAAUGCUUUGGGUGGUUUGAAAUUAAGGACCGUUACCGCGAUGCAAAGCAUUUUACUUAUCAAAAAUAAUAUCCACGUUCAAGAACAUAGAAGUCAAAACAAUUAUUCCACGGCAUAAUCCAUAAAUAAACCUCCAAAGCCCCAAACAUGGGGAAUGCAUAUGCUUUUUCUUUAAAGCAUCCAAAAUUAAAUAUUCAUGUAUGAUAAAAAAAAAGUAGUUCAUUGAUUACGGUAUUGUAAUGAAUAAAGAAUUAAAUACUAGGCGUAUUGCUCGUGCAAUGCGUGGAGGCAAUUUAGUUUUAAUUGUAAAAAAAUAAUAAGUUUCGAACUUUGGGGUAAAAACAUACUUAACUUAUCUGAACUAUGGACUAUUUUGUAUUUGUUAUUCAACCUUUCAAAUUUUAAUUUUAUCUGAACUAUUGACUAUGGGUAUAAAAAAUAAAAACCCGACGAAUAUGGAUACAGGUAUGGACUUUGUAUUUACCCGACCCGAACCCGAAUAAAUUAUAUAACAUUUUGAUAUCUAAAGAUUGUUUUAGAUAUUUAAAGAAUGUAUUGUUAUCUUUAACUAUUUGAAUUUGUAUUUUUCUUAUUCAAAUAUUGAUAUUGUAUGGCAUGAAAGUUUUAAUAUUGUAUUUGAUUGUGUUUUCAAAAUUUUAUUUUGAAAAUUUUGAUUUUACUAUAAUAUAUUUUGAAAUAUGAUAAAGAGAAAUCAUUAUUUUGGGUACGGGUUUGGAUUCGGAUUUCAGGUUUUUGGUUGGGUUCGGAUAUGGGUAUGGAUUUUUGAAACCCGACGGGUUCGAGUUCGGCUUCGGAUUCGGGUUUUAAUUUGGUUUUUAGGUUCGGGUUCGGAUUUUUGAAAAUCCGACCCAAACACGACCCAUUGACAUUCCUAGUGUCACCAUUGGUAUUAGAGCCAAUUAUCAGCCGAAAGUGUGAGAUGAAUCUUGACUGAGCCAAAUUAUAUAGUGGGGAGAGCGAGACUCUAAUACUGAUGACUGUUGUUAAUGAAGUGCGGCUCACCACAAUGUCGGAUAAGCUAGCGAGAUGAAUCUAAUAUCGCCUGGUAUUUAUAAAUCUGAGUCUGACGAGAAUAUCAGAACUUAAAGGAAGAAGAAUGUGAGAUUCCAAGUAGAUAUAAUAAGACUAAAACUCUUAAUCUGGUUAUAGCAUUUUGGCGGCACCUAAAUCCAAAAGGUUAAAAAAGUUAAGCGUGCUAAGAUAGAAGUAGUCUUAAGAUGGAUGACCCCAAAGUAACCCAUAGUAUUUUGAUUGUAAAAUUUAAGCUACUUACUAAGUUUAAUAAAUUUAUAAUUGCAAGAAUUGCAAGAAGUAUACUAACUAAACCUGUAAAGAUAAACAACAUAUUCAAAUUUUUGACAUCAAAGCGUCGUUAACUAAUUCAAAUCAAACAAAAUGAAAGGUUAGCAAGAAUUUUUAAAUUUUGAAAGGUUGGAUAGCCAAUUCAAAAUAGUCUAUAGUUCAGGUAAAGUAUGUACAUUUUUACCUAAUUCCAUUAUGUGAGUUAUUGCAAGAAAGAAAGCUUAACCUAAAUAACUUCAUUAUGUUGAUUAAUCUUGAACAUUGAUUGAUAGAGGAGGUUAGAAAUAUGAUUGACAUAAAUUGAUUAGAAAGAGUUUCCUUGAACUCUUGUUGUCUGAGUAAUUUCUGAAAAUAGGUCUAUUUUAUAUGAAAAAUAGAUAUGUAAUAACAAAAUUAAGUCUUUAUUUAAAAUUUUGAAUAGCUAACCAAAUUCCAUAAAAAGAAAUUCCAGAUUUUUCAAUCACAAAAAUUGCAAACCACAAUAGCAACAAAUUGAGAGCAUAGAAACAACUUACAGGAGUCAAAAUAAAAGCAAAGUUCUAUUAAUAUUAGCUUGUUAGUAUUAUUUCUCACAUCAUUUCAUCCACUAACUUAAUGCCUAAGCUUAUGAUUUUAAUUGUGUUAACAGAAACAAACUUGCCGAAGAAAAAUUUAUUGCCAAAUUGAAAGACAUUACAAUGAGAGAUCGAGAGCCUCAAGCAUUUCGCCCAGAGUUCUCCGUUGGGAGUUGACCUUCUAAAAGACGCUAUGCCGGUCACUUUAGAUAGACCAAACUUUGAACCGUCAAGAAUGAUUGUGGGACAUCAGAUCGUCCUAUAUAUAAGAUAUAACUGUGCUAAAAUAACUCCGUUAUAAUAUAUUGGGCGGUGGCUAGAUCCAAGAAGUUAAGAAGGUUUAGUACGCUAUAAUUGUAGUAGUUCUAGGAUGAUGACCUUCCGAAAAGUGGGCCGGUCGGCUAAGAUUAGCGAAACGAGUCUCAUAUUGCCAGGUGGUUGUGAUUUUCUAAAUCUGGCUAUAGCAUGUUGGAUGGUGGUUAAGCACAAAAAAUUAAGAAAGUUAAGCAUGAUAGGACUAAAAUAGUCCUUGGAUUGAUAACACCUGGAAGUGGAACGUCACAAUGAUUCAAUUUAGUAAAAUUAUUAUGUCCUGAAGGACUGGAAUCUUGACUAAGAAUCUGGAAUACUACCAAACUCUUUGAACAAUCUGCUGAAGGAAAAAACUAAACAAAAAACUAAACCUCCUGAAAUUCUCGAUAUAUUCUCUAAAUGAAACUACCAAAAACUAAUAAAAUGCUGAACCUACUGAAUUUGUUCGUUACUAUCCUAUUUUUUCUCUAAAUCUCUCGAGCUCUUAAAUUUGUGAAUGAUUAGAAAAAGAAAAGUCGUAUCUUUCUCCGCCAAGAUAUUUAGUCUCUUUUAACCCAACUCCGAACCCACCGAAUUUUAGCCAAAUUCUAAAAUUUCCGAUCAUACUUAUUUCCUUUCCUGAUGAUGAACGGCCAAGAUUAUUUCAACUCGACGCCCAAAAUGCUUAUCUUCUAUGCCUCAAUACCAACCAAGAUUAACCUUACUUCCUCAAAAUCCGACGGCAGAACGACAGAAUUAUGAUGUCAACAAAUUGUAAUUAGGUGAAUUGCAAAGGUCAUGUAUUGUGAAAGCUAAUUAAUUAUGAGCCCUAAUCAGUAUAGGUGAGAUCCAAAAGGAGAAAAAGUACAAAAUCAAUCUGAUUUAAAAGCGGUACACUUUAUAUGAUGUUAAUGUAUUAACAUAAAUGACAUGAAAAAAAAAGUAUUAUAUUAUGACACAUUUAAGUUGUUACAUUAAUUUACCAAUAUAUUAACAAUCUGAAAGGAAUUUUUUAUGGGAACUAAAGCAUCUUUCUUUUUUUUUUAAAAGGGAAAGUGGGUGAGGUUGACCCAUUUGAUUGCACCUUUUCGGCUAAUUUAUGAUUUUUGAGAGUGCCAACCAAAAAACUAGGGAUUCACAAGAGAAAUUCGAAAAGAAAUAUCACUUUUGGCUCAUUUAGGCUCCUGAUAAUAUGGUUUUUCAAAAAAAGAAAAAAGAAAAAAUUGUAAACUCCUUAUUUAAAAUAUUAAAAGUAAGAAAAAAAAAGACUGUUUUAUUGCCAAUUAAAUUUUACAGAAAUACACAGAUUGCAAACUAUUCAUUAUCUGUGGGUUUCCCCGAUCUCCACAACGCAGGUUCACCCAUUAAUUCGAUCUAUUGCAUUAGAGUUUUCUAUUUGGUAUUGGAUGAAUUAAAUCUAAGUUCGGAGCUCAAAUAAACACUAACAAAUAAAAUUGUAAAGGCUCAUUCUAAAUCGUGUGUUGUUGUUGUAAUUGAUAUGUUUCAAAUUCUAUGUUAAGAUUGUUUAAUAACUUUCUAAUAGAAAGCUCAGAUCAAGAUUUCUCUUUUUAUUUUCAUUUGCUAGUUAGCCCUUCACCCAAGGCAAAAUUGAGAAAUCCGAAUUCUUGUGUAAGUGAUAGAAAUAUUAUUAGGAUCUUAUCUUAUUCGAAUUCUUACAAAACUUUCUCAUGUGAUAAUGUUAUAACAUGAUCCUUUUAAUAGCUAAAUCAAAAAUUGCUACACUAAUCAAAAUGAUCUGGCAUGAUCAGCACGUGUCAUCCGCAUCAACACAUAAAAUAGGGUGUGUAUCAAGAUAUAUCAGUGUGUCACAUUUUGAUAGCACCUUACUACGCUUUAUGUCAGUAGCACGGGAAUACACAAACUGAAUAAAUUAAUUGAUAAUAACCAAAUAUUACAACAAUAAAACAUUGAAUUUUUCGUUCAUUUUAUAAGUUUUUAUUUUUUGGAUGUGGUUGAACUAAAUGCAACGACAUAGACAUGGAGCCUUAGUAAAUUGUUAGUUUAGUGUCACACUUUGAUUACUUACUAAUUUAAUACUAAUCGCUAUCUACUAUUUAGACAAUUUGAAAAGAAUUAUUUAUUAUCUUAGGCUCAAAACCCCAAUCGCACUAGCAAAAGAAUCCGCAGUUUACAGCACAUGAGGGGCACUAUUAACACACGACCAUGAUACAGAGAUUGACAAUGAAGAGUGCAAAAGCACCGCUAAAUGUGCCUAAAAAAGUCUUCCAAAAUAUUAUCAAUAAACUAGUAUUAUAAAUGUGAGAGGCGAAAAUUUGGUUCACCCUCUCAAAUUUCAAAUAUGAUACUUAACAAGAGAGAUUAAGUCUAAGAAGCUGAAUCGAUUAGUUAUUAUUAUUUAUAUGUAUAAUACUGAUACCUUAAUAAGUGCUUGGUGCUUUUACAAGCACCGCAGCUAGACUCUAUAUAUAUAUAUAUAUGAGCAGGACUACUGUGCUAUUAGGAGCACAGCAACCUUUAUGCUCCUAACUUUCUAACCACCCAUCAAAUUUGAUGGGUGGUUAGAAUGAGAGGAAAAAGAGAUAUUGGAGAGACAUAUAUAUAUAUAUAUAUAUAUAUAAUGUAGAGCUACGUAUGCUAUCAGAAGUAUAGAGAAUUUGAUGGUUCCAAUUUUUUGACCUUUGGAUCAAAAAUUAUAUGGUUGGGAUGAUUGCUGUCCCCCUAGGAUUGAGUAGUACCUCUAGAAUUGAAUGGUCCCCACAGGAUAAUAAUAUUAAUCCAAAAGUUAGAAAUAAUUAAAAAAACUGAUCUAAAGACCAAAAAAUUGAAAGCACCAGAUCUUCUAUGCUUCCGAUAGUAUAAUAGCUUUACUCUUUCUCUCUCUCUCUUUCUAUAUAUAUAUAUAUAAUAUAGAGCAUUUCUCUUUUACAGAGUGCCAAGAAAUAUGGAAAUACAAAAAGUCAUUACAUAGAAAGGUGGAUAAUACAAAAGUGAUCCUACAUCUAAAAAAUGAUAUCCAGCUAAGCUUUGGAGUGGGAAUUAAUUAAUCGAAAUAAUACCAUUUUAGAGAUUAUCUAUAGGAUAUAUAGUCACCUAUCAUAAUGAUCAUCUUAUAGGGGAAAAGGGUAACCCUACAUAUAUAUAUAUAUAUAUACAUAUAUACAUGGAAAGGUUAACCUACAGUGUGACAUGCAAGGAAAAAGUUUUAUGUUAAAGCAAUUUGACCUAUACUAACACCACAUUGAUACUAUACUCCUAUGCAUAAAGCUUAAGCCAUAUGCUUCAACAAUUACAGUAACUGCAAAUUGGAUUUAACUAUGUAAGGAAUGAUGAUUCCUAGAAGAAGACUUGUAGGUAUUUAGCCCUAUGAUUUGAAGGAUGUUAUUAUUUAUAUAUUUAUGCAUAGUCUAAAUCCAGUGAAUUUGACUUAGUGAUAAUGAUCAGGUUAAAUGAACCUUUAUAUUAAAAAUAAAUAUGCGUAUGUAGUGGUAUGCUUCGUGAAAAUCAUACAAAAAGUUUAAAACUUUAGAUACGGACUUGAAUGAGGUAAUUAAUUGGUUUAAUGUAGUUGUGAACUUAUAUGUAAUUAGCUAUGCUGGCCCAAUGGUCCUAAAUUGUAAUUAAAUUCUAAUAAUACAAAUAAUUAUAAUCUUGGAAUUAAUAAUUAUGUUGAGUUUGUAUUUAAUGAACUCUCAAUUGAAAGAACUCAUGAGUGCAAAAGAGAAGUAACUCCCAUUUUAUAAAAGCUAGUUAUGCUUCUAAGGUCAAGGUGGACACUGUAUUUUGUUCGAAUGGUGUUUGAGAGAUUCAUUAAUUUAUGGGAAUAUUAAUCUUUCAUCUCAAAAUUAAUUUUAGGAUAAAUUUCAAAUACCACCAUGUAAUUUUGCACUUUCUCACUUUAGUACCAUAUGAUUUAAAGUGUAUUAAUUUAGUACUAUAUGAUUUUAUUUUUAUCUUUUCGUCAGUCUCUUCAUUAACUUUUCGUUAAAUCAUAUAUAAAAAACUUCCGAUACCCCACCCCACUUAUAAUUUAUCAAAUAUUUAUUUAGUACUUUUUAAUUUUAACUUUGUCACUGACUUAACGAAAACAAUUAGUGAAGAAAAUAAUCAAAAGAGAAAAAUAAAACAGGAUACGAAAUUGAUACAUUUUCACAAAAUACUAAAAUAAAAAAAUGCGAAACACAUGGAUUAUAUUUAAAAUUUUUUCCUUAAAUCUUAUGCUUACCAUCAGAUUGAACGAGAGUGCAACGUUGCUGCAUCUCUACGUGAAAUUUAUUAUUAUUAUUUUUUUCAAUCAUCCCCUUUGUUACUUCUUUUUUUUUUUUCCUUUUUUUUACAAAUUAAGUCGUUUUCAAAAUCAAAACCACUCUUACUUUUGUUACAACUUACAACUUAAGUUCAUAUGUUAUCGUUGCAAUUUACAACCACAUUUUAUGAAAUGAAAAUAAAUACAAUAAACCAAAGUUAAGAGAUCUACCCGCCGAAUAAGACAAACUCACAAAAGCCCAAAGAUGAAACAUAUUAAAUAGUCCUCUUCUCUUCUGAGUUCUGAUUAGGGGAGCAUUUUGUUCCAAACUCGACCAAAAGCCGGACCCCGAUCCAGUACUACUACACAGAUUACACAUCCUGUGUUUGGAUCAAAACACGACAGAAACACAAUCCAAAUUCGAUACUACAGAUCAAAAUCAGCUCCACAAUCAAAUUUUAGUAAUACUGACACGGAAGAUACUCGCAGAAAACCAGACUAGGAACUUCCAAGGACUGAUAUUCACAAAACCCCACAAGUCGUGGGGUAUCACAGGUCUCUUUCUUGUAGUCCUAACCCAUCAGGUAACACAGCAUGCGACGAAAAUGAUGUAAAGAGAGAAAAAAACCAAGUAUCUCAAUAUUCAGCAUUCGGCCAACAACCACCAACUACAAUCCAAACACCGCAAUUCCCCAUUUCUAUCAUCUAUCUUUGACUCCGUAGAUAAUAGGUUUUCUUUCAUGAGUCUUAAGUGUCCUAAUGAUAACAUUUAAAUACACAAAUCUAAGGAUCAAAAUUCAUUUUCAGUGCCGACUUUAUAAUUUCAACUGUCAUUUCAUUUAUCUAUCUAAAGAAACUACCUUACCCAGUGGGUGAAACUCCAUUAAAAAGAAAAAUUCUGUUGAACCUCCUAACGCAAAUGAAACAGUUAAGAGAAAGAAAAAGAGACUCAUUUCUGGCGACCGGCUUCCACAGGCUCGACCACUUCAGCUUCAAAUGCAUUCGCGUAUUGGGGUUCAACAGGUUGGCUUGGUUGCGGUUGGUAUACCUCAGCAGCUGCAGGAGCCCAUUUCCCGGAAAACGCAGUUCCCAUCAUCUCAUAUAUCUUACCACUGAGCUCCUUUGGAUUAUCAGGCUGCGUAGCAGUACAAGGACAUAAUUAGCUUAAACUGAAACAAUAUAUAAAAUAUGCGAAAGGUUGCAAACAAGGAUUUAAGUGCUGUGACACGGGGUCGUGCCGGAAACUUACCGGCACGGUACGGCACGGUGCGUGCCGAGCCGUGCCAGUCAAAAAAAUCUUGCGUGCCGACACAUAAUAGCAUAAAAAAUCUUGCGUGCCGACACAUAAUAGCAUGAAAUAUUUAUUUUCUUUAACAACAAAAUAUUCUAACUAUUUAUUAUGUCUUUUUAUUACAUCUUUUGAACUUUAUUGUGGAAAUUACUUACUAAUUUAAAAAAUAGAGGGUUUUGAGUUAUGCCAUCGGCACGGAGUCUAUAUCGUGCCGGUAUCUUGUUGGUACGGUACUGCACGGUGGAUACGGCCCGUGCCGACGGGCACUUAAAACCUUGGUUACAAAGUUGCACAAUUUCCCCAAUAUUAAACAACAUGCUUCCCAAUGCACGGACUCAUAAAUAUGAAAGUAGGUGUAUUUAAUUA